UUUUAUUUUUUUUUUGUUAGGUUUUUUUAGAGAGCGUUCGCUGGACAGGUUUAGAAAACCAACGUUCGCUUUUUAGUCUUUUCCUUUUCUAUUAGUUUUAGAUAGGGACUUCUUUGUAGAUAUUUUAUUUACAAAUUAGCCCCUGGACUUCAAACACUCAUAAUUUUUUACUCGUUAGUCCAAAUCCAACGAAACCAACGCUCACGUCUUUGUUAUGAUCUCCUCUAUCCAGUAAUCCAACUCAAACAUGUUUUUGAAAAGUUUAAAAUUUGAAUUAGAUCAAAUUUGAAUUCAAACUUCGUUUGAUCAUAACUUGAGUUUCGUAGCUCCAUUUCAGUUGAUUCUUUUUGCAAAUCGAAGCUCUUGACCUAAACAUUCUAAUAAGGCCAAAUUAACAUAAUUUUUGUACUGUUAGAAAUUGUUUUAUGAUGCAAGAGUUAUUUGCUUGGUUUUAACGUUUUUCGAAUUGUUUUCUUUGUUCUCUCCGAUCUUUGAGUGAUUGCUUAUGUGUGGUUACUAUUGCUUGAUUAUGAUAGAUUGACCAGAGUGUGACGAGUAGAGCUAUCAAGAUUUUUGAGUGUGAAUCAUCUUCAUCAACAUUGCAGGCAAGUUCACACUUUGAUCAUAUCCCUUUAACACCCAGUUUUAUGCAUUAGUUUCAACCCUCAAACAUUGCAUGGUUAGGAAUUGAUAACAUGUGGGUAUUGGGAAGUAGUUGAUGAGGUAGGAACCUAUUACCUGUUUAUUAUCAAACCCUUGGGAGUUACUAUUACGUUAUGCUUACAUUGCCAUGCUAUGCUCGUAGACGUGGAUUGGGUGAGUGAUAUUCAUGACAGAUGUGAGUUUGUUAAUUAAUGGUUUAUCUAAGGUGGCAACUUAAACACACAUCUGGGUGGAUUGAGGUACCUGGUUAUUCCAGGAUUGCCUGUCUAGGCACCUGGGUAGACCAGGAUUGCCUGUUUUUUAUGGACUGCCACCCAGGCUCAAAGGGAUCAUGAGAUUUUUCAUACUAGAAACUUCCGUGUGCAGCCACAAGCUAUUAUGGUCUCUAGCAUAGUUGACUAAGUCGUGCGAACUCUUACAGUGGUAGACUAGCAGAUGUAGGGGAUGUAGGUGGUACGGUCUACCCGAUCGUAAGGUGCUAGCGCUUCUGAAAGACUAUGUCUCGGUCAUCCGUCUUCUCAAACACCAUGUAGUGCGAGAAACCAAACGGAGGAGAUCGAGUCUUGUGGGGAAAAGUGCGCAAACCUCUGCAGAGUGUAUAAACUAAUCAUGGUUAGCCAUGUCCCCGGUUAUGGACAUCUUGAGUAUCUAGUACUUGGAUUAUCAUGUGAAUCUCAUCGUGUUACUUUAAUUAAUUUUGUUGGGUUGUUAAUGAUUACUUUUAAUUGGGAUUGAGAAUGCUGUCAACCAUUCUCAAUGUUCAACAACCACCAUGAUAGUUAAAUAAAAUUUAUUCCUUUGCAGUAGGGAAAAUUGGCUUUUCGCAAAAACCUUAUAACCAUAGAGCUUUUCCACCAGCCAAAUAUGCAUGUAGUGAUAGCCAUUGUUCAUCAUUCUCUAUGGUGAAUUUGCCAGUACAUUCAAUGUACUGGCCCUCUAUGGCUGCAACGUCUCAUGUUGCAGGAUUAUCUUACGACGAGUAAGUGAUACGUUAGGGUUACUAUUUCUACACUCAACUUUGCCGUUGGUGUUGAUGGGAAUCCACAACCUUGUUACUUCUGCUAUUUUGGAUUGAGGUAAUAGUAUUUGCGUUACUUUUACAUGCGAUUUACCUCUGUUAUAAAUCCUCGAGUACUGUGUGUGUCAGCAUACCGAUCCAAGGAUGACACUUAAGCACAGAGACUUGAUCCAUUCGGGUCGGGUCGCUACAAGAUGGUAUCAGAGCACAUGUUGACUGUAGGACGUGACCCUAGAAACUGGCAAGCCAUAGCAAAGAUUUUUCUCUACAACUUUCCCUUUCAAGAAAAGACCUUUUACCUCUCUUCUCUUCUGAGCUUAUUCAAAUAUUCCCUUUUAGUGAGACCAUACCCCUUUUCCCUUUUGACCACACGAAGAUUCGACUAAUGAGAUACUCCAAUAAGUACAAGAUAUUGGACAACUAAGACCGCUUCAGAAUGAAGAGGAUUUUACUGUGCAUCUGAAUAAUGGAAACUACAACGGUUGAAGACUCCAAAGACUAGGAGAAUUUGAAGGCUCUGAAGAAUUCCCAGAUUUGUAUGACCUAGGAAGGCUACCCUUAUGGAACUUGGUAGACUAUUGAAGUUGUCAAUACCCGAGAUCAAGGUGUAUCGGAGAAAGACUGAAACAAGGAGCAUGAGAACUCGAAGUUUUGAAAACCCUAAGGCAGGAGAUAUCAACUAUGGAAUGAUAGCUCAUGGAAAUGACAAGAGCAGAAACACGGUUAUCCGUGAUGUCAUCGCCCGCUUGUGCUAUUGUCACCGUGCUGAGUUAAGGAUGCAUUUCUUCAUAAUGGAUUUGAUGGAAGAAGGCUGAUGGAGCACCUAUUAGUAAGAUGAAGUUUUAAUCUUAGCCGAUGUAUCACCAGGAUCUGGAGUAGUACAUCAAGAAGUUUAAAAUGGAGCUCCAGGAAGACAUAUUAGACAAGGAAGCAUUUCGUGAAGAACUCAGGAACCAAAAGCUGAAGUAGCCAAGCUGGAGGAGCUACAACCUCGAGAUACCGAAGAUUCGUCAGGAACUGAAGGACAGUAGGAUCAUGGCUCAUGUCGAGGUUGAUGAAACUCAGAAGUUUGGAACGCAACUCCAAAAAUAUUAAAGGACAUCACGAUAGACUUUGCGACAACAGAAAUGAUCUAGCAAAAGGAUUUGAGAAAGACAAGCAUGAUCGGAAGAAGCCAUUGGAGGCAUGAACAAGACUUGAAGAGUUUGGAGACGUUGAAGAUUUAUUGACCUUUAGAAGACCAAACCCCUGUUUUAUACCUAUGUUAGAUGCAACGAUUGUGAGCUGUCAUUUGUUUGAUGUUUUUCCCGACGCCACAAAUAAAAUCUGUCUUUUCAAAACUUUUGUUUGCAUUGUGUGCAUCCCUCUCUUUCUCUCUUAUCUCACUCCAAAACCCUUGGACCCAAUAGAGGAUGAAUGGAGAUGAGCUUGUAUCUUCUGGAUCGAUGAGUCAAUUGGAGACAGACCGAUGGAUUCAGAACAUGGAGGAUCACAUGAAGAAUAACCUUAUAGUUGGAAAUGAUAUGACCCAGCAUGCUCUUCAGUGCUUUGAAAGAGGUGCUGCUACUUGGUGGAGGAUGUACCAAACCAUGAAUGGAUGGCAAGGAGUAACCACUUGGAGAGAAUUUAAGUUGACUCUGCCAAAGUCUCGGCUUGUGUCCCAGAAGUUGAAGCCUUAUGGAAAGGAUAUGAAGAAACCUUGUGCAUGCAAGAUUUGUGGAGAAAUAGGACACACCCAUAAAGAACACAAGGAUGAAUGCCAUAAUUGUGAAGGGAGUCACCCAGUUGAAGAAUGCCCAACUAGGCAGAUUACUUGUUUCUUGUGUGAAGGGACUACCCACUAUCCUGCCCAGUGUCACAUUUACCCCAUGGUACAACGAACCAUCCAGCAGAAGAAAGAAGUAAUGAAAGGAGCCCUCAUGGAAAUUUUAGAAGAAGCUGUGAUGAAGGAAGAGAUGGAGGACACACCUAAAGAAGACCCGAGUAAACCCUGCACUAAGUCUUGCUAUUCAUGUGGAGAAGGACACAUCUCCCAAAUUUGUUUGAAUGGGGAUCUAAUAGAAUUCCCGACAGAGGAAGUAGAAUAUGAUCCACGGGAAAUAGAAGCCCUGAUUGGAAUGGAAAAGUCUAGGAAGAGAAACCGAUUGGAGCCCAGGAGGAACCUGAGUCAUAUCACCUGUUACAGGUGCAAGGAGUCAGGGCACUACCUCAACAGUUGCCCAAAAAGGAAACCUCGAUACUUGCCAGAAGUAAUAUGUUUUAGUUGUAAUGGAGCAGGGAACUUUGCCAGAGAAUGCCCCAAGGAGAAGGAAACUUGUGCUAGAUAGUUGAGUUUGCAACAAAGGAAAUGGAGUAGUAGAAGUGAGAACAUUUUCUUUUAUAUUGAGGUGUUGAGUUGAGACAUGUAAUGGAAAAGCGAGAGAUUGUAAUCAUUUGAGAAUGAAUAAAGUUAGCAUCGUUGGUACUGAUAUGGAUUUUAUGAGUUGUUACUCUAUGAAGAAGAAUUUUGGCCAUUAUGAGGAUAUGAGAAAUAUGGUAUAUGGAAGAUUUGUGCAUUUUAAGGGUGGUAGUACCCUGUAAGAACCCUUGACCCCUGGAAAAGAUAAGGAUACCCACUGAGUGGAUUUCGGACAAAAUGAAUACUAGUUUUGUCUCGAUAUGUGUGAUACCCCAAGAAUGUGUGGGAUGAAGUUGGAGACCGUCAGUUGUUUGCACCAAAUAUGAUCAAGGAGUCAGAAGAGAAUGUUAAGUUGAUUCGAGAUAGACUGAAGGUAGCUCAGUCCAGGCAGAAGAGUUAUGCAGACUUAAAAACACAAGGAGGUAGUCUAUGAAAUUGGAGACAGAGCAUGUCCUCGUGUGUCCCCUCUGCGGGGAGUUAAACGAUUUAGAGUUAGGAAAAGUUAGCCCCGAGAUUUGUAGGACCAUACCGAGUUUUGGAGCGUAUGGGAGAAGUGGCCAACAAGUUGGAGUCACCCGAAGGACUGUCAGGAGUUCAAGAUGUGUUUCACGUUUCCCAGUUGAAGAAGUGCCAUGUAGAGAUGGCCAAUAUUCCCCUGUAAGGACGCUUGACCCUAGAAGGGAUAAUGAUAUUCCAUGAAGUGGACUUCGGACAAAAUAAGUAUAAGUUUUUUUCUCGGUAUGUGGGAUAUUCCACGAGGAUGAAGAGAUAAAUUACUAUUGGAUAUAAAGGAGGUAUGAUGUCGGAAAUAUGGAUCAAUGGAAACUCCAUGAUGAGUCUGAGUAAUCAUGUCCUAGUUUGGUGCCGAUAGAAGGAAGGAAGACAAUACAAAUUGGAUGGAUUUAAGAAUACUAGGAAGUUGGAAGUUGGAAUAAUGAUAAGUUGCCCGAUGAUAAGUUCAAGGACUACAAGUGAUGAGAUGGGCCAUACCCACAGGCCCCAGGACCUGCCAAGAAGCAAGCGCAUUCUUGCUGAAGGAAAAACCCUGGAAGAAGUUACGUUUAUCGGCAGACGAUCUUAUAGGAGUUACGCAAAACCUGAGAGUUGUGAAGGAACGAUAGAUGUUUGUUUGGCUUGCAGAAUUAAUGGAUUUAACCGAACUUGGUUCAUCGACAAGAGAAAUUCUGUAAUGCUUGUGAGGAUGACCGAGUGUUAGAAUGCGAGAUUCACUAAACCGUAUACAGGGUAAUGAUUUGGGUGCGGGAUGGAUUGAUCACCAUACCGACUUACUCUUAUUAUUCGCCUUGCUAUCUGGGAUGGUAAAUCUGAGUGACUUACCUAUAGUAGAGAGACGACGAUCAAAACCUUGUUUAAGCCUUAGAAUGGUAUAGGUAUUUUUCCCUUGUACAAGGCAGCUUUGCCAACCGUAGGUUAUACGGUGAGGAUCACCCAGACCCAUUUCCUGCAGGAGAAACCACAAAUUGUUGACCACCAUGAGAUAUCGAUAGUUGUUUAGUUUUGGCGCCAGACCCGUCAGCUACAAAGACCCAAUCUCGGAAGAACCUUACCAAGAUGAAAGGAUAGAAAAAUUGUGGUAAGGUUAUGCCACUACCGGAAGAGCCCGGAUAAGGAAUUAUCCUGAAGAUCUAAGAAGACCGACACUGUUAACAAUAUGGAUGAAGUAUAUGAGUUUCGAGGGAACCGUAACCAUGCUUUUAAGGAAGGUAGCACCCCAGACCCCUGUGAUGAUCGAUGGAUAUUGAGGAGACCCCCAAACCCUAACCUAUUUCUUUCUAGCCUCUCCGAAUCUCGAGGACGAGAUUCAUUUUAAGGGUGGUAGGUUUGUAACAUCCCAAAACUCUAAAUUUUGGAAUGUUAUAAUAAACAGAUAGAUUUGAUUGACUGUUUGAUUGAUUGACUAAAAGUGAGUGAAAUUCGAAACUUUUGAAAGUUAAAUGAGAGGGAAUAAAAGGACUUUCCCAAACUUUCAUAUUUGCUUUCUGAUCUCCAUGAAUUCAAAUUCUUUUCAAAUACAAAACCCUUGAGCGAAGAUGAUAUGACUUCUUCCAUUUUUAAAUGAAAGGGUAUUUGAAAAUAAUUGAAUUUCAUUUGGAAAUAUUUCAAUUCAGAAACUUUAAGCAACUCAAUGAUUUUCACGAGAGGAGAUAAAAUGACUUCUUCAAAUUAUAUGAAAUAUGAGUUGGGAGUUUCAAAGGAUCAAAUUCAAAGUUCUUUUGAAUUUAUUUUCAAUUUGGAGUUAUUUGAGUUUUAUUCAAAUUAUUUUUCUCCAAAAAUAAAAUAUAUGGAAAAUAGGGUAACAUGAUUCCCUACAACAGAAAAUUGGAGAAAAAUUAAUUUGAAAUCAUUUUGGUAUUUUUAAAAUGAUUUUUGUUGGAUUUUAAUAGACCAGUAGCACUCUUUGUUUUAUCUGAAUUUGUGUGAAUUUCAUUUAAUGCUAAAAAAAUGUUCAUGUCGUAGAAAAUCUUUUUCUGAAAAAUUUGAUAUAUUAUAUGCCUAUAUAAUAUUUUAUUUAUUUUGCUUUUAUUAUUUUUAUUUGUCUGGAAAUGUUUUUUCAAAAAAAAAUCCGACUGGGCCGGCCCAGCCGAAGCUAGACCAAGGCCCAACUCCGCGCCACCUCGCCCAUCGUCCCCGACCGGGACCCUCCCCGGAGUCCGGCGCCGCCACGGCCUCGGCACCCCCUCCCGCAAGCCGUCCGCCGCCCCUGGCCUAUAAAUGGCGAGGCCCGGACCCUCUCUCCUCCCCGCUGUCGCGCCGCCGCCGUCCGCAUCUCGCCGCCCCCUCCCGCAAGCCGUCCGCCGCCCCUGGCCUAUAAAUGGCGAGGCAUGGACNNNNNNNNNNNNNNNNNNNNNNNNNNNNNNNNNNNNNNNNNNNNNNNNNNNNNNNNNNNNNNNNNNNNNNNNNNNNNNNNNNNNNNNNNNNNNNNNNNNNNNNNNNNNNNNNNNNNNNNNNNNNNNNNNNNNNNNNNNNNNNNNNNNNNNNNNNNNNNNNNNNNNNNNNNNNNNNNNNNNNNNNNNNNNNNNNNNNNNNNNNNNNNNNNNNNNNNNNNNNNNNNNNNNNNNNNNNNNNNNNNNNNNNNNNNNNNNNNNNNNNNNNNNNNNNNNNNNNNNNNNNNNNNNNNNNNNNNNNNNNNNNNNNNNNNNNNNNNNNNNNNNNNNNNNNNNNNNNNNNNNNNNNNNNNNNNNNNNNNNNNNNNNNNNNNNNNNNNNNNNNNNNNNNNNNNNNNNNNNNNNNNNNNNNNNNNNNNNNNNNNNNNNNNNNNNNNNNNNNNNNNNNNNNNNNNNNNNNNNNNNNNNNNNNNNNNNNNNNNNNNNNNNNNNNNNNNNNNNNNNNNNNNNNNNNNNNNNNNNNNNCGCUCGCCGCCCUCGCUUGCCGCCCACGGCCCCGCCCCGCGCCUCCGACGCCGCCCGCCGCUGCUGUCGCUGCCGCGCCGAGCUCGCCAGAGUCCACCACCUCGCCGAACCGCCGUUGCCGGUUUUCCCCAUCGAGCCACCGCUGGUUUCGUACGAACCGGCGUGAACCGGUAUAAAACCGCCCGGUCGAUUUAUUCUGUAGGUUUUCUUCGGUUUAGCCGGUUUUAUUUUUUUGUUAGGUUUUUUUUAGAGUGUUCGCUGGAUAGGUUUAGAAAACCAACAUUCGCUUUUUAGUCUUUUCCUUUUCUAUUAGUUUUAGACAGGGACUUCUUUGUAGAUAUUUUAUUUACAAAUUAGCCCCUGGACUUCAAACACUCAUAAUUUUUUACUCAUUAGUCCAAAUCCAACGAAGCCAACGCUCACGUCUUCGUUAUGAUAUCCUCUAUCCAGUAAUCCAACUCAAACAUGUUUUUGAAAAGUUUAAAAUUUGAAUUAGAUCAGAUUUGAAUUCAAACUUCGUUUGAUCAUAACUUGAGUUUCGUAGCUCCGUUUCAGUUGAUUCUUUUUGCAAAUCGAAGCUCUUGACCUAAACAUUCUAAUAAGGCCAAAUUCACAUAAUUUUUGUACUGUUAGAAAUUGUUUUAUGAUGCAAGAGUUAUUUGCUUGGUUUUAACGUUUUUCGAAUUGUUUUCUUUGUUCUCUCUGAUCUUUGAGUGAUUGCUUAUGUGUGGUUACUAUUGCUUGAUUACGAUAGAUUGACCAGAGUGUGACGAGCAGAGCUAUCAAGAUUUUUGAGUGCGAAUCAUCUUCAUCAACAUUGCAGGCAAGUUCACACUUUGAUCAUAUCCCUUUAACACCCAGUUUUAUGCAUUAGUUUCAACCCUCAAACAUUGCAUGGUUAGGAAUUGAUAACAUGUGGGUAUUGGGAAGUAGUUGAUGAGGUAGGAACCUAUUACCUGUUUAUUAUCAAACCCUUGGGAGUUACUAUUACGUUAUGCUUACAUUGCCAUGCUAUGCUCGUAGACGUGGAUUGGGUGAGUGAUAUUCAUGACAGAUGUGAGUUUGUUAAUUAAUGGUUUAUCUAAGGUGGCAACUUAAACACACAUCUGGGUGGAUUGAGGUACCUGGUUAUUCCAGGAUUGCCUGUCUAGGCACCUGGGUAGACCAGGAUUGCCUGUUUUUUAUGGACUGCCACCCAGGCUCAAAGGGAUCAUGAGAUUUUUCAUACUAGAAACUUCCGUGUGCGGCCACAAGCUAUUAUGGGCUCUAGCAUAGUUGACUACAUCGUGCGAACUCUUACAGUGGUAGACUAGCAGAUGUAGGGGAUGUAGGUGGUACGGUCUACCCGAUCGUAAGGUGCUAGCGCUUCUGAAAGACUAUGUCUCGGUCAUCCGGCUUCUGAAACACCAUGUAGUGCGAGAAACCAAACGGAGGAGAUCGAGUCUUGUGGGGAAAAGUGCGCAAACCUCUGCAGAGUGUAUAAACUAAUCAUGGUUAGCCAUGUCCCCGGUUAUGGACAUCUUGAGUAUCUAGUACUUGGAUUAUCAUGUGAAUCUCAUCAUGUUACUUUAAUUAAUUUUGUUGGGCUGUUAAUGAUUACUUUUAAUUGGGAUUGAGAAUGCUGUCAACCAUUCUCAAUGUUCAACAACCACCAUGAUAGUUAAAUAAAAUUUAUUCCUUUGCAGCAGGGAAAAAUUGGCUUUUCGCAAAAACCUUAUAACCAUAGAGCUUUUCCACCAGCCAAAUAUGCAUGUAGUGAUAGCCAUUGUUCAUCAUUCUCUAUGGUGUGAAUUUGCCAGUACAUUCAAUGUACUGACCCUCUGUGGCUGCAACGUCUCAUGUUGCAGGAUUAUCUUACGACGAGUAAGUGAUACGUUCGGGUUACUAUUUCUACACUCAACUUUGCCGUUGGUGUUGAUGGGAAUCCACAACCUUGUUACUUCCGCUAUUUUGGAUUGAGGUAAUAGUAUUUGCGUUACUUUUACAUGUGAUUUACCUCUGUUAUAAAUCCUCGAGUACUGUGUGUGUUAGCAUACCGAUCCAGGGAUGACACUUAAGCACAGAGACUUGAUCCAUUCGGGUCGGGUCACUACAAUACCCAUGCUUCAUGCUAGUGCGACUUCUUCAUGUCAUGACUUACCUAUUUAUGAUAAAUAUGAUGAUGAGCAUGUUGAGUUGCCUAGUUGUGAUGCUAUGCUUCAUAGGAUAUCAUGUGAAAAUUAUUUUGGUCACAUCAUGUUUGACAAUCCAUUAAUCUUGUCACAUGCUAUGAGUGAGAUAUCCCAUAUUGCAUCUUUUCAAUCUCAACAUAGUAACUAUGCAUGCCCCAUUAAAAUCAAUCCUAUUUGCACUUAUGGCAUAGAUGACGAGAUGAUGGUCAUUGGCUUUUGUUUUUCAUGUGAUGAUAUUGCCAUGCUUCCUUUACAUGAUUUGUGCAAUUCAUCUACUAUGCCAUGCCAUGAUCACAUUGCUCCAAAUAUGCAUUGUUUUGAAUGUUGUCAAUAUUCUCCAUGUGAUGUUUCCAUUAAUACUCAUGAGGAGACCCCCAUAGUUUCCUCAUACAUAUUAGGAGAUUUUGAUGCAUUCCAUACUUUGCAUGAUUCUCGUAAUUGCUUGCACCAUAUGCAUUCCAUGAAUAACAAUGAUCUACAUAUAUAUCAUGAUGCAUUGCACAAUUUGAGUCUCCAUUAUGCUAUACUUAACAACAAACCUAUCAUGAUGGAUGACAUGUUUCUAUAUCACGCAUCUCAUUUAUUUGAGCAUUGGCUAUUUUGUGCUAACCAACACAAGCACGUGCGCAUCAUAAUGGAUGAUGUGUACAUCUACCACGCACACACAAUUUUCCCUUUGUCUUUGUUUUGUGUAGGUGCUCACGUAUACUCGUCAACCUCUCAAUCCCAAGAGUUGACGAAACGAGCUCUUGAGAGCAAAGAUGACUUGGGAUCCCGUGAACUAUCCUUCCCACCGCUCUCUUCGCGCACCGACUAUGCGCAUCUCCCUCACUUGGCUCUCACACGGCUAUGGGCUAUAUACCGCUCUCUUGCUCAUUUUACCGUGUUCACUUUGCAUGUUAUGCUUGCUUCUAUGCCUUUGCCAUGCAAUUGUGACCCUUGCUUGCAUCUACCCAUGAUUCACAAUUAUGUUACUCCUAUGCGUAUUUGCAUGCUUGGUGGAGAUCCUUGUUGCUAUUGCCAUGUUUAUCAUGUGCCUCAUGCUAUUGAUGCUAUUUUGCUCAUAUCCUCCUUUCAUGCUUGUGAUAUGUCUUGUGCAUUAUUCAUGCCCACCAUUUGCACACAUGACAUACUUGACAUGAUUCUUUCUAGUAUGUUGCAUCUUCGCAAUACUAGCUUGCUUUCCUUGAUUCCCAUGAUUGCUUGCUUUGUCGCAUCACCCAUGUUCCAUUCUUCAUUGCUUUCUUGGGUUGAUGACGUAUAUGUUCAUGCCUCUCACAUGAUAUAUUUUGUUCAUUGCCGCUUGCCUCCAAUUGUUGCAUCUAUGCUUAUUGAUCAUGGAGACUUGGACACUUUACUUGUGAUGCAUGCUUGCUUGAUUGAGCCUAUUGUAUGGUUGUCCUCGCAUCAUCAUAUGCCUCCAUACUAUGAAAUGUUCCCUUGUACUUUCUUAUGAUGAGCAUGAUGCAUCCACUUGUUGGGUAUUUUACCACACAAAUGAUAGGUUUUGCAUCUCCGCUAACCUCAUUUGUUUUUCCAAGUGUUUGUCAUGUUCUUUCAUGUUGAAGGAUUCACAAGGUGACACCGUCAUGAGACAAUUUGGUCAUGUGAAGGCAUACAUGAUGUGCAACACCAACAUUUGCGAGAAUCUCCUAAAGGUGAACUCCUUCCCUUUGAGCCAUCCUCAAAUAUGCAUAUUGGAUGGGUCACUCUUUCAUUGUUGUUUCCUUCUUAUUGUCUACAUGGUACAUCUCGCGAACAGAGGAGCGACAUUGAAGAUUGACUCUAUGGACCUUCACAUUGAGGAGCGUUCGGACUUAUUGGAGGCACCUUCGAACCUCCACUCAUGCAACGACAUCGAGCAUUGGUACGCCAACACCUCCAUACUUGUUGAUUGUGCUCACCCAUGUCAUGCUCGAUGGACAUAUCAUACACAUGGCAAAUUUGCAUCGUAUGCAUGGAUUGACUCACAUUAUGAUUGCCUUGUUGCACCUAUUUCCAUGUCAUCCAUGAUAUAUGAGCUUGUGCAUUUCCUUCGCAAAUUUGUUGUGAUCUUUCUUGAUGGCAUAUUCAUACAUCAUGAUCUUAUUUCCUACCAUCAAAUGCAUGAUCAUAUCACAUUGAGCAUCCAUUACCAUAUUCAUGCUAUUGAUAAACCGUCUCACUAUGACAUCAUUUUGCACCGUGGUUGCAUUGAUCAUAUUCACAAUACAUUUGUGUGCACAAUGAAUGAUUUUCCUCUCAUGAAUGUUUUACAUGUCAUUUUACAUGAUCUUGAUAAGCUUCAUGCGCUUUGUCACGAACAAUCUUGCCGCACGGACUUAUGCUUAUUUGAUGGACACUUUGUGUGCGCUAACCAUUGUAUUUCCGAGUGUCGCUUGUGUUUGCUCUUUUUUCAUGUCUACCACUACGGAGACACCUUGGAGUACUUAGAUUGCGCCAUGUCUUCAACUCCGUCCAACUUCAAGUCCGUCGACGACAACCGUUUCCAUGGUGAUGAGGAUCAUGAUCCAAGGUCGGAUCUCUACCAAGGGGGGGGGGAGAUGAUGCGGAGCAUCCUACGUUCAUCUCCAUGUACACCUUCAUAGCACAUCAAGCCCCAAGUGGACCUACCGGACUUAAGGUGAACCCGCUCCUCUUCAAGAUUUACAUGAAUAUCUAUGGGACUUGGUCGCUACCUCACCACGGAAUGUUGUGCAUCAUUAGGUACGAGGGUGACCGCCGCCAAGCAGCUAAGGAGCUUCCCGGAGGCCAAGGAGAAGGACCGCAACGCCACAAGGAAGAAGAAGGAGUGCACGAAGAUCAAAUCUGCACCUCCCAGGCGAUCCCGUGCCCACGGGCCUCGAAGACCCCGUGCGCACGGGCUACACAGAGAGCUGGCGCCAGAGCACCCCGUGCGCACGGGCAUGUACCGUGCCCGCGGGACCCCCAUGCGCACGGGCCCAACUUACCCCAUGCGCACGGGCCCUACAGCAUGAACGGCUAUGAUUGCUGUUUGGGCGUCCUCUUCAUCCACCUCAUCCCUCACCUCCAUCCACCUAUAUAUUUUGUACCUAGACCAUUUGUGAGGGUUAGCAAAGGAUAUGAUAGACAUAUGAGAGCUUUACUCCUUAUACUACUCCUCCUCUUGAGAGAGAGAGAGAGAGAGAGAGAGAGACCUCUCCGUUGGAGAUCAAGACCUCCUAUGGAGAAGAUCCCUAGGGGAUAGAUCAAGACCUCCUAUGGAGAAGAUCCCUAGUGGAUAGAUCCCCAUCAUAGGAUCACCAAGACCUCAUUCCUCAUAGGAUUGGGAUGAACUAGCACCUUGUAUCUUUCCUUUGUUGUCUUUGAAUCAUUGUAUCUCUCUUUGUGUGAUUGGAUCUAGCAUAUGUGUGAUUGGAUCUAGUCAAUUGAGUGUUUUCCCUCUUGUGUUCAUCUUAUUCUUGGGGAUUCCCCCUACAAUUCGUGAAAGAUCUCCACUUAGGGUUCCACCCUAUAUCAGCCAGGCUGCUUACGAUGCCAGCGCGGCUCUUCGGUCCAAUGUCCAGGUAAGUAGACUUUCGACUGACCUUGUUCUAUUAGGAUAUGCUGCCUGAAAUAUUUUCUUUCAUACAAUAUCUUAUUGUUUGCGUCGAAUCUGUACGCCCACUGGGUGUUUUGUUGUCUCUAGCACUUGCGCUCUUCCACUCGGCCUGGGCGAAUGGGAUCUGAACCGGUGGGGGCACGCUAAGUGCACCCACUGGGUGUAGUCCCCGAGACCACAGUCGGCUGCGGGCAGUCGACUGGGAUCUGAGUACUAUUUACUUUCUUUUCUUCCCCUCGACCCGGGUGGACCGGUCGAGUGGGAUCUGAACCAGUGGGGGAACGUCAAGUGCACCCACUGGGUGUAGUCCCCGAGACCGCGGUCGACUGCUGGCAGUCGGCCGGGGUCUGAAUAGUUCCCCUUUUUUUACUCGACCCGGGCGGACCGGUCGAACGGGGUCUGAAUUAGUGGGGGCACGCCAAGUGCACCCGCUGGGUGUAGUCCCCGAGACCGCAGUCUACUGCGGGCAGUCGACUGGGGUCUGAGUAAACUUUUAAGUUUUAUUCACUCGGAAGUAAAUAAUCUGUGAUCUUGUCGAUUGACAUGUCUUUUACCUUCUGCAGAAAUUGUGUACUCUCAUUUCUAAGUUUGCCUAAUUUGAGGAGAAGCAGAGGUAACUCAACCUCGACUUGGAGCUGGCCCAACAAAAGUUGAAGAAAGCUCAAGAUGAAGCUGCUGGUAUGGAAGGUAACUGCAUGUCGACUGUUCACAUCGAUCGUAUUUUAAGAUAUUUCUUCGAUCUCUUAUUUGAUCUGAUUGCUUCUUUUGCAGAAAAAAUGAGGUUGGCUCUGGAGAAGAAGGACUUGGACCUUGCAGCUGCGCAGAAGGAAGCUCAAGAUAAGACUACCCUUGCAGACCAGAAGCUGGCUUCGGUCGAAGUGUUGGAAGGAGAAGUAAACAAGCUGAAGUCCUCUCUCAAUGAGUCCAACCGAGAGGUAACUCGUCUGAAGAAGGAUAAGAUUGCUCUGAAUGAGAAGCUGGAGUCUGCGGUCCGUAAGAGAAAUGACACGGAAGCCUAUCUGAGAACUCUUGCCAAGAAGCUCUAUCUUAUGCUGGAAGGUACUCCUUUUAAUCCGACUGCUUUACUGCUUGCAAGUUAAUCCUGUCCAGUCGACUCACUAACUCUUUGACUACAGAAUUCUGCCAAAACUUUGACGAGGAAACUGGACGGAUCGAGACGGGUUUAGACCCUAUCAUUUCUCCGGUCGGCGACGAGGCUACCAUGAAUGUGCUUUGACUGGAAUCCCGUGUCGCCAGCGUCACAAGUUACCUCGCUCGUCUGAAGGUGGCAGUUUCACGGAUCGACUCAUCACUCUAGCCAAGGGCGAUGCUUCAAAAUGACCUCGAAUCUCUGAUGACUCGGCUCAAUGAGAUUCCUGGUUGAGUGCAAGAGCGGAAGAAGUCCUCUGCCCGGUGUGGUGCUGACGUGGCGUUGUCCUUGGUAAGGGUCCACUACAAGGAAGCUCGUGAAGACAAGCUGGCGGCGAUCAAGGUCACCAACACCAAAAGGCACGACUUCCAGUCCUUUAUGGAGACUUUCAUCGCUGCUGCCACUCAGAUCACAGAUGGAAUCGACUUGGACGAAUUUGUCGAACCCGCCAGCCCUCCUCCUGCCGAGUGAACAAACUAUGAGAUUUAAACAUGUCUUAAAUUUGCCUCGGAAUGCCGAGUGGUUGCUGUAACCAUUAAACUCCUUUGGGCUUGAUGCUCAAAUACUUCUGAUUUGUCGCUUGGAACUUUAGGAUUUAUCCGAACUGCUUUUGAGUAUGCUUGCGAUUGCUUUUGGAAUCUGCUCCCUAUUUGGAAUGACCUUCGUGUUUGAGAUGCAGCCUUGAAAUGGAGACUUCAAUUGAACUACGAGUUGUCGUCCUUGUGGACAAGGAUGGAUUGCAUGUUGUAUUUGUGGCGUAGCUCGAAGGAGAAGGUUGCGGUCGACCUGCGCCUCGUCGUCCUUGGGGACAAGGAUGGAGCGUACGUUGUAUUUGUGGCGUAGCUCGAAGAAGAAGGUGGAAGUCGACCUGCGCCUCGUCGUCCUUGCGGACAAGGAUGGAGCGCACAUUGUAUUUGUGGCGUAGCUCGGAGAAGAGGUCCGCGGUCGACCUGCACCUCGUCGCCCUUGUGGGUAGGGAUGGAGCGUACGUUGUACUUGUGGUGCGGCUCCUAGGGAAAGGAUUGCAGUCAACUUGCACCUCAUCGUCCUUGCGGAUGGAGAUGGAGCGCACAUUGUAUUUGUGGCAUAGCUCGGAGAAGAAGGCCGCGGUCGAUCUGCACCUCGUCGCCCUUGCGGGUAGGGAUGGAGCAUAGGUUGUAUUUGUGGCGCAGCUCCAAACGAGAAGGUUGUAGUUGACCUGCACCUCGUCGUCCUUGCAGAUGAGGGCUAGACUGCAGCUAAGCCUCCGAGUGGGAGGAUUGCUCACCACUCGGUAGAAUUUACAAACUUAGGCGAGUACUGGGCUGCAGCUAAGCCGCCGAGUGGGAGGGUUGCUCACCACUUGGUAGGAUUUUACAAACUUAGGCGAGUACUGGACUGCAGCUAAGCCACCGAGUGGGAGGGUUGCUCACCACUCGGUAGGAUUUUACAAACUUAGGCGAGUACUGGACUGCAGCUAAGCCACCAAGUGGGAGGGUUGCUCACCACUCGAUAGGAUUUUACAAACUUAGGCGAGUACUGGACUGCAGCUAAGCCCCCGAGUGGGAGGAUUGCUCACCACUCGGUAGGAUUUUUUAAACUUAGGCGAGUACUGGUGUCACAUCCCUGGUCCUGUUAUGCACUAGGCUAGACCUCAUGUGAGCAUCAUGUUUUAAUUCAAAUGAAAUUUGAAUUGAGGAAUUUUCAAAAGCCUCAGGAAACCUCUAAAAAUAACCAACAUUUAAAUCUUCUCAAAUGUGUCCAAGAAAAUGUUCCUGUUAUUCCAUGGAAAUAUUGGUAAGAGGUAAAAUUUAAACCAAUAUUUUUGGAGUCACAGAGAUAAUUAUUUUGGCCAUUUGAGUUAAUCCAAUAACUAUUUGCUUUGGAUUUAUAUUUAAUAUAUAUUAAAUAUGACUCCAAUAAUUCUGGAAGUUUGUGAGUGGCUUUGUAUAUAUUUUAGCAAGCCACAUAAAAAUCUACAGAAUUUAUUUAAAUGAUUUAGUUGCUAAACUAAAUCAAAACAAACUACAGAUAAUAGAAAAAAAAAGUAAAAGAGAGAGAGCAGAAGGACUUACCUGGCGCCACUUACCUGGCCCAACACUGUGCAGCCAGCAGCGGCCCAGCCCACCUCCUCCCCCUUGUCAUCUUCCUCCCCUCGCACCGAAGCAGCUCGGUGGCGAGCGCCGAUGCCGCCUCGGCCACCUCCUGCUUCCACCGAGGCGUUCCCGAGCCUCCCCCUCACGCCACCAUGAUGCCCCGACCCCCUGGAACCCCUCGACCUCUCCCAUCGUCUCCCCCCUUUCUUUGGCUCCCUCUCUCCUCCACCGAGCGGAGCCCCGUCGCCACCGACGCCGUUCGCCGCGGCCACCACCACCCUCUCGCCUCCCCGACGCCUCCCAGAGCUCCGCAGUGCCUCCCUCUACCUCCUCAACGAGCCACGAGGCCCCAGACGUGCCGCAACACCGCCCUCGAUGUCUUCUUCAACCUCGGGACCGUCGGCCAUCUUCGUCAAAUUCGUCGGCUCCGGUGCCUCCCCGAGCUCCCCGAGGCCACCGUCGCAACCCCUGUGAGCUCCACUCCGUUUCCCCUCCUUCAUUUUGCUCGUUCCCGUGCCGUAGCACCCCCGGCCACAUUCCCGAGCACCGCCGUCCGCCAUGGCCGCGUAGCUCUCCUGACCCGAGCCCCUCUGCUCGAACCGUGGCACCAGCGCGCUUCUGGUGGCCCGCGGAUGCCGUCUGGACCAUCAGUUUCUCUUCUAGCGCGCCGCAGCCCAACCCCGCACAUGGCCGAACUCCGGCCGCCGCCUCGGGCUCCACCCCGGCGAACCCCGGCCACCCCCGCACCUCCCAUUGGUCCCCCUAGAUGCGCACGGGCGCGGGCUACCUCCUGGUGCCCUUGGCGCGUCGAUCCGAUGCCCCUAGCGCAAGUCCGGCGUCCCCCGCCGUGCUCUGUGGUCGUCGCCGGCUACACUCCGGCGAGAGCUGAUGUGGCCAGUCANNNNNNNNNNNNNNNNNNNNNNNNNNNNNNNNNNNNNNNNNNNNNNNNNNNNNNNNNNNNNNNNNNNNNNNNNNNNNNNNNNNNNNNNNNNNNNNNNNNNNNNNNNNNNNNNNNNNNNNNNNNNNNNNNNNNNNNNNNNNNNNNNNNNNNNNNNNNNNNNNNNNNNNNNNNNNNNNNNNNNNNNNNNNNNNNNNNNNNNNNNNNNNNNNNNNNNNNNNNNNNNNNNNNNNNNNNNNNNNNNNNNNNNNNNNNNNNNNNNNNNNNNNNNNNNNNNNNNNNNNNNNNNNNNNNNNNNNNNNNNNNNNNNNNNNNNNNNNNNNNNNNNNNNNNNNNNNNNNNNNNNNNNNNNNNNNNNNNNNNNNNNNNNNNGGUUAACCCCCUGUUUAGUUUAAGUUAACCACAGUGGCCCCACGCGUCGGAAUUGACCUAGCUGACGUGGCCGUUGACCGGUCCCACCUGUCAGUGAGUUAAAACCACCCUGUGUCACUGACGUGUGGCCCCCACACGUCAGGUUUGACCAGCAGCAGCGUCUGUUGACCUGCUGACGUCACGGUGAUGCACUGAUGACGUAGUAAAUGUUUCUGGAAUUUAAAUAAUCUUAAAUGAUUUAAUAAUUUCAGACAAUUGUAUAAACUUCUAAAAAUCAUAGAAAUUCAACCGUAACUCCAAAUUAAAUAAUUUAUAUAUGAAAAAUUAUCUGAAAAAUUCAAGGAAUCCAUCUGUACCAUUUUCAUGCAUGUUAGAACAACUUAUAGCUGCUGUUUAGCACAAAUCAAUUAAAUGGCAUUUGAAUAAUCACAUAUGGAGUUUGAAUUUGAAUCUUGUAUUCAAACCAACUUCAUUUAAUCUGUUGCUAGUUGCAUUAGCUCAAAACACAUUCAUUUUGCCAUGUCAUGAUCAUGCAUCAUAUUGUGCAUUGCAUUGAUUGUGUUCCCUUCUGUGUUGCCGGUAUUUGUCCCCUCUCGAUAGACGUGAUACCGAUGAUGUGAUCGUUGACACUGAUGAAGACUCAAUGUUAUCUUCAGAAGUGCCAGGCAAGCAAAACCCCCUUGUUCAUUCCGAUACAAUCCUACUCUCUCGCUCCUGCUCUCUUUUACUGCAUUAGGACAACACCGAUUCAUCUGUUACUUGCUGCGGUAGCUGAACCCCUUUGUCCUUUGCAUGACUUGUCAUUGCCACAGUAAAUAGAUGAAACCCACUAGCAUGAGUAGGAGUUGUUUGAGCCCUGAUGUGCCUACUCAUUCAUGUUUGUUUGUCAUGCCUGCUAUUGCUUAGAGUUGAGUCAGGUCUGGUUCAUCGGGGAUGAAUCAGAGGUGUGUGAACAUGUCCUACUGUGUGUGAGCUAAGUGGUGAACACGAUUUGGUAAAGGUAGCGGUGAGAGGCCAUGUAGGAGUACAUGGUGGGUUGUCUCAUUGCAGCCGUCCUCAGGAACUGAGUUCUGUGUUUGUGAUCCAUGAUUCAGCUACUACCAUACAUUGGGCCCUGAAAUAUGACCCCGCUCGACUGCUUAUUCACCCUUGUCCUCUGUCCAGGAGUUGCAAGUAGUUUCUGGUGUUUGUAGUAUGCUGGAGGCCGUGGACAGCGCUGACCGUAGGGGUGGGCUGUGAUGCGGUAGGCACGUGGCCGGGUAUACCGGGCGCCCGUUUGGUGUCACGGAACCCUGUUCACAUCGUUUGGGGCUGUGAGCGAAACUCCGCCCGGAUCUCCUCAUGGAUGGAACCCGAAUAGGCGAUAAACCUGGACUAGAGACUUGAGUGUUUAGGUAGGUCGUGGUCUACACCCACGUCGGUUUUCGCUUGAAGUCUGCCGAGCACAUGUCGUGUGCAGACGCUAAGUGGUGGAAACAUGUAUGAAGAAGUACACCCCUGUAGGGUUAACAUCAUCUAUUCGAAUAGCCGUGUCCGCGGAAAAGGACUUCUGGGUUGCUUAUAUCAGUUCAUAGACAAGUGAAAGUGGAUACUCUAAAAUACGCAAGAUAAGCGUGAGUGCUAUGGAUGGCGCUCUCGUAGGGAGACGGGAGCGGAUCCAUAGUGGUGUAUUGGUUGGUGAAUAUGUGGACUCGUGUGCGCCACCUCAAAAGAGUUACAUUGCAGUCGUAGUUCAGGAUAGCCACCGAGUCAAAGCUGGCUUGCUGCAGUUAAACCCCACCAUCCCCUUUGUUGAUAAUGAUGCAUAUGUAGUUAGUUCUGAUGUAAGUCUUGCUGGGUACAUUUGUACUCACGUUUGCCUAUUUUAUGUUUUUGCAGAGAGACUUCGGUCUCACUAGUAGUUUCGCGUGGACUUCGACGUUUAGCUUGUUACCUCAGCUACGAUCUUGAGCCCUCGGCAGGAUCUGGUAGAUAGUCAGGCUUCUCAGCCUUUUUCAUUUCUAGAUGUCUGUACUCAGACAUGAUAGCUUCCGCUUGUGUUUUGACUUAUAUGCUCUGAAUGUUGGGUCGUGAGACCCCUGUUUGUAAUAUCUCGCUCCUCGGAGCCUAUUGAAUAAAUACUUGAGUCGUAGAGUCAUUUUGUGAUGCCAUGUUGUAUUGCACAUAUCGAGCAUAUUGUGUGUAUGUUAUUGAAAUGCUUGGUAUGUGUGGGAUCUGACUAUCUAGUUGUUUAUCUUUAGUAGCCUCUCUUACCGGGAAAUGUCUCCUAGUGUUUCCAUUGAGCCUUGGUAGCUUGCUACUGCUCCGGAACACUUAGGCUGGCCGGCAUGUGUCCUUCUUCGUUCCUGUGUCUGUCCCUUCGGGGAAAUGUCACGCGAUGAAUACCGGAGUCCUGUUAGCCUGCUACAGCCCGAUUCACCGGAGUCCUGCUAGCCCAGUGCUACAGCCUGGAUUCACUCGCUGAUGACCGACACGUUCGAUGCUGGGUCAUGGAUGCAUGUCCCUGUAAGUCUGUGCCACUUUGGGUUUACGACUAGCCAUGUCAGCCCGGGCUCCUUAUCAUAUGGAUGCUAGCGACACUGUCAUAUACGUGUGCCAAAAGGCGCAACGGUCCCGGGCUAAUGUAAGGCGACACCCGUGGGAAUACCGUGCGUGAGGCCGCAAAGUGAUAUGAGGUGUUACAUGCUAGAUCGAUGUGGCAUUGAGUCGGGGUCCUGACAACUGGACUGCAGCUAAGCCCCCGAGUGGGAGGGUUGCUCACCACUCGGUAGGAUUUUUUAAACUUAGGUGAGUACUAGACUGCAGCUAAGCCUACGAGUAAGAGGGUUGCUCACCACUCGGUGGGAUUUUUUAAACUUAGGCGAGUACUGGACUACAGCUAAGCCUCCGAGUGGGAGGAUUGCUCACCACUCGGUAGGGUUUUACAAACUUAGGCGAGUACUGGACUGCAGCUAAGCCCCCGAGUGGAAGGGUUGCUCACCACUCGGUAGGAUUUUUUAAACUUAGGCGAGUACUGGACUGCAGCUAAGCCUACGAGUGAGAGGGUUGCUCACCACUCGGUAGNNNNNNNNNNNNNNNNNNNNNNNNNNNNNNNNNNNNNNNNNNNNNNNNNNNNNNNNNNNNNNNNNNNNNNNNNNNNNNNNNNNNNCGAGUACUGGACUGCAGCUAAGCCCCCGAGUGGGAGGGUUGCUCACCACUCGGUAGGAUUUUUUAAACUUAGGCGAGUACUGGACUGCAGCUAAGCCUACGAGUGAGAGGGUUGCUCACCACUCGGUAGGAUUUUUUAAACUUAGGCGAGUACUGGACUGCAGCUCAGCCUCCGAGUGGGAGGAUUGCUCACCACUCGGUAGGGUUUUACAAACUUAGGCGGGUACUGGACUGCAGCUAAGCCCCCGAGUGGGAGGAUUCCUCACCACUCGGUAGGAUUUUUUAAACUUAGGCGAGUAUUGGACUGCAGCUAAGCCCCCGAGUGUGAGACUCGCUCACCACUCGGUAGGAUUUUACAAACUUAGGCGAGUACUGGACUGCAGCUAAGCCCCCGAGUGGGAGACUGGCUCACCACUCGGUAGGAUUUAUAAACUUAGGCAAGUACUGGACUACAGCUAAGCCCCCGAGUGGGAGGCUGGCUCACCACUCGGUAGGAUUUUGAAAAACUUAGGCGAAACGGGUUCGCAGCUAAGCCCCCGAGUGAGAGGCUUGCUCACCACUCGGUAGGAUUUUUUUAACUUAGGCGNNNNNNNNNNNNNNNNNNNNNNNNNNNNNNNNNNNNNNNNNNNNNNNNNNNNNNNNNNNNNNNNNNNNNNNNNNNNNNNNNNNNNNNNNNNNNNNNNNNNNNNNNNNNNNNNNNNNNNNNNNNNNNNNNNNNNNNNNNNNNNNNNNNNNNNNNNNNNNNNNNNNNNNNNNNNNNNNNNNNNNNNNNNNNNNNNNNNNNNNNNNNNNNNNNNNNNNNNNNNNNNNNNNNNNNNNNNNNNNNNNNNNNNNNNNNNNNNNNNNNNNNNNNNNNNNNNNNNNNNNNNNNNNNNNNNNNNNNNNNNNNNNNNNNNNNNNNNNNNNNNNNNNNNNNNNNNNNNNNNNNNNNNNNNNNNNNNNNNNNNNNNNNNNNNNNNNNNNNNNNNNNNNNNNNNNNNNNNNNNNNNNNNNNNNNNNNNNNNNNNNNNNNNNNNNNNNNNNNNNNNNNNNNNNNNNNNNNNNNNNNNNNNNNNNNNNNNNNNNNNNNNNNNNNNNNNNNNNNNNNNNNNNNNNNNNNNNNNNNNNNNNNNNNNNNNNNNNNNNNNNNNNNNNNNNNNNNNNNNNNNNNNNNNNNNNNNNNNNNNNNNNNNNNNNNNNNNNNNNNNNNNNNNNNNNNNNNNNNNNNNNNNNNNNNNNNNNNNNNNNNNNNNNNNNNNNNNNNNNNNNNNNNNNNNNNNNNNNNNNNNNNNNNNNNNNNNNNNNNNNNNCUAAGCCCCCGAGUGGGAGACUGGCUCACCACUCGGUAGGAUUUUACAAACUUAGGCGAGUACUGGACUGCAGCUAAGCCCCCAAGUGGGAGACUGGCUCACCACUCGGUAGGAUUUUACAAACUUAGGCGAGUACUGGACUGCAGCUAAGCCCCUGAGUGCGAGGCUUGCUCACCACUUAGUAGGAUUUUGAAAAACUUAGGCGAAACUGGUUCGCAGCUAAGCCCCCGAGUGAGAGGCUUGCUCACCACUCCGUAGGAUUUUGAAAAACUUACGCGAAGCGGGUUCGCAGCUAAGCCCCCGAGUGAGAGGCUUGCUCACCACUUGGUAGGAUUUUCUUUCGAACUUAGGCGAAACGGAUUCACAGCUAAGUCACCCACUGGGGGUUUUCAAACAUAAACAAAAGCAGCAACAAUCAUGCCAGAGGACUGUAAAGCACUUGUCUUUGAUAAACAAAUUACAAAGGUAUUUCUUAUUACAUUUUAUUCGAACGAUUACUUAAGUUUAAAAGGGGCAGAGCAUCUCCGCAUUCCAAGCCCGUUGAGGGAGUCCUGGAUAAGGGGGUAUCCGGACGGCCGGACUAUAUCCUUUGGCCGGACUGUUGGACUAUGAAGAUACAAGAUUGAAGACUUCGUCCCGUGUCCGGAUGGGACUCUCCUUGGCGUGGAAGGCAAGCUUGGCAGUACGGAUAUGUAGAUCUCCUUCCUUGUAACCAACUCUGUGUAACCCUAGCCCCCUCUGGUGUCUAUAUAAACCGAAGGGUUUAGUCCGUAGGACUAACAACAACAAUCAUACCAUAGGCUAGCUUCUAGGGUUUAGCCUCUUUGAUCUCAUGGUAGAUCAACUCUUGUACUACUCAUAUUACCAAGAACAAUCAAGCAUGACGUAGGGUAUUACCUCCAUCAAGAGGGCCCGAACCUGGGUAAACAUCGUGUCCCCUGCCUCAUGUUACCAUCCGCCUAGACGCACAGUUCGGGACCCCCUACCCGAGAUCCGCCGGUUUUGACACCGACAUUGGUGCUUUCAUUGAGAGUUCCUCUCUGUCAUCAUCAUUAGGCUUGAUGGCUCCUUCAAUCAUCGAUAGCGAUGCAGUCCAGGGUGAGACUUUUCCCCCCGGACAGAUCUUUGUAUUCGGCGGCUUCGCACUGCGGGCCAACUCGCUUGGCCAUCUGGAGCAGAUCGAGAGUUACGCCCCUGGCCACCAGGUCAGAUUUGGAAGCUUAAACUACACGACCAACAUCCGCGGAGACUUGAUCUUCGACGGAUUCGAGCCCCUGCCGAGUGUGUCGCACUGUCAUGAUGAGCAUGAUUUAGCUCUACCAUCGGACGGCGUUCGAGAGAGUGCACCGGCAACCGCUCCGACCCUCAAUUUGGAGCCAAUUGCUCCAUCCAUGGGCGGGUGGAUAGACCCCACCACGGAGGCCGCAUUCUCAGCGGCGAUCGAGCCAAGUAUCGACCUUACCCUUCACGAGAGCCGUGAUGCCAAACUGCCGGAUUCCUCCCCGGUCACAGACUCCGAACCGCCUGUGCCCGUGCCUAUCGAAUUCGACUGGGCGCCGAUCAUGGAGUUCACCUCCGCGGAUAUCUUUCAGCACUCGACCUUCGGCGACAUAUUGAACUCAUUAAGGUCUCUCUCCUUGUCAGGAGAGUCCUGGCCGAACUAUGUCCGGCAGGAUUGGGAUGCGGAUGACGAAGAAAUUCGCCGCCCACCCACCACCCACUUAGUAGCCACUGUCGACGAUUUGACCGACAUGCUCGACUUUGACUCCGAAGACAUCGACGGUAUGGACGACGAUGCAGGAGACGAACAGGAGCCACCGCCCACAGGGCACUGGACGCCCACUUCAUCAUAUGAUGUAUACAUGGUGGACACACCCAAAGAAAACGACGACGAGGAACUGAGGGACGUAGCGAAGGAUCAUUCUCUCGAGAAGCAGUCAAAGAGGAGGCGUAAGCGCCACUCCAAAUCCCGCCUCGGCAGAAAUGGCGAUCAUACAGACCCAGCGAUAGAGCAGGGUGAGCCAGCGGACGACAAACACGGCAUUGAACCACCGUCCGACCACGGCAACACGGAGAAUCAAAUCGAACAACCCGUCUCCGGUGAAGAUAACCGUCCAGAUGACAUCACACCGGACAGGCACCCGGAGCAACAGAAUACCCAUCAAAGGCUUGUCGCCACUGCGAGGAGUCUGAAAAAGCAGAAGCAAAGGCUCAGGGCUGCACAAGACACACUCAGAAUUAGAUGGAGUAAAGUACUCAACACUGCAGCAAAGUACGGCGGUAGUCGCCACACAAAGAGCUACCCGAAGCGAAAGCUACUACCUAAAUUCUAUGAGGAGGCCUUAGAUCCCCCGCAAUCAAAAAACAAAACAGCCAUCCGGUCGGAUAGGCGACCUCGUGGCCAACAAAGAGCGGCAAACGACGCCGCACACAAGCCAGUACACGAUCCACGUGAGGGCUCACAUCAAAAGGAUGGCACAACCAGAUCCAUCUACGGGCCAAUCAAGCGCGCUCCAGCACGCAAUGCAACACAAAAAAAAUCCGAACACCACGAUACACCCAAAUACAGGGGUGCCGCACACCCCCUAUGUUUCACUGAUGAGGUGCUGGACCAUGAAUUUCCAGAGGGAUUCAAACCCGUAAACAUAGAGGCGUAUGACGGAACGACAGACCCUGGGGUCUGGAAUGAGGACUAUAUCCUCCAUAUCCACAUGGCUCAAGGAGACGAUCUCCAUGCCAUCAAGUACUUACCCCUCAAGCUCAAAGGGCCAGCUCGGCACUGGCUUAAAAGCCUCCCCGAAAACUCCAUUGGAAGAUGGGAAGAGCUCGAAGACGCUUUUCGGGCAAAUUUUCAAGGGACCUAUGUCUGACCACCGGAUCCAGACGAUUUAAGUCAUAUAACUCAACAGCCCAGAGAGUCAGCCCGAAAGCUUUGGAACAGGUUACUCACUAAAAAGAACCAAAUAGUCGACUGUCCGAACGUCGAAGCCUUAGCAGCUUUCAAGCACAGCAUUCGAGACGAAUGGCUUGCCAGACACCUCGGCCAAGAAAAGCCGAGAACAAUGGCAGCAUUAACAAACCUCAUGACCUGCUUUUGCGUGGGCGAGGACAGCUGGUUAGCCCGAUGUAGCACCAGCGACCCAAGUACAUCUGAAGUCAGGGACGGAAACGAGAAGCCACGACACAGCAAAAACAAGCGCCGGAAUAAAGAAGACAGCCCGAAGAGCACAGCGGUAAACACCGGAUUCAGAAGCUCUUGGCCAGGUCAGCAAAAGCUGCCCUUCAAAGGCAACAGAGACGAACUGUCCAGCCUAAACAAGAUUCUGGACAAAAUAUGUCAGAUCCACAGCAUCCCCGAUAAACCUGCAAAUCAAACCCAUAGAGAAUGUUGGGUCUUCAAGCAGUACGGCAAGCUCAACUCCGAACACAAGGGGCAGGAUACACCAAGCGAAGACGAGGAGGAGCCUCGCAAGAAAAGCACUGGGGAACGGAAGAAAUUCCCACCAGAAGUCAAAACAGUAAACGUGGUACACGUGAUAAAGGGGAGAAACAAAGCGGCACUCCUAGAGACACAUGCCCCAGGGCCUAUCACCGCGGAGUUCUGCCACUGGUCGUCCCAACCGAUCACCUUUGACCAUCGGGAUUACUCGGCAAGUAUCUGGCAUGCAGGAUGGGCUGCCUUGGUGUUAGACCCGAUAAUUGACGGAUACCACUUCACACGAGUCCUGAUGGACGGCGGUAGUAGUUUAAACCUGAUAUAUCAGGACACAGUCCGCAAAAUGGGGAUAGACCCAACAAAAAUUAGCCAUGGCAAUACUACCUUUAAAGGAGUAACGCCAGGCCCAGAAGCCCAUUGCACGGGCUCCCUGCUACUAGAGGUUAUAUUCGGCUUUCCCGAUAACUUCCGCAGCGAAAAUUUAACCUUCCACGUCGCUUCGUUCCAAAGUGGCUAUCAAGCACUACUCAGAUGCAAAGCUUUCGCUCGCUUUAGUGCAAUACCACAUUACGCUUAUCUCAUGCUUAAGAUGCCUGGUCCACGUGGCAUCAUUAAAGUAAAUGGAAAUAUUGAGCGCUCCUUGCGCGCGGAAGACCGUGCGGCCGCCUUGGCAGCUGCACACUAGACGGCCUCACCAACUAGAGCACCUGACAGGUCGUUAAGACCACGGAUACGGUUAGACAAGUACGGUGCAGCUAUAUAUAAUUGAUACAGGUUUGAUGGCUAUACCCCUAUAACAAUACAAGGGGCUCAACGUGUGUAAACAAGUGACAAUUAGGCUCAACUUUACUCAUCUUGAACUAUACAUGGUUUAUUUAGUAUAACCUACCUUUUUGCACGACAACUUUUCAACUAAGUUCCUCUCUUUUAUAGAUGACCAUCAUGCUACACCCGUCCAGGAUACGGCACAACGGAGACACAGGCGCAGACAUGCAGCAGGGACCCAUUCCAAGGAUUCUUUUUAGAUUAAGACCCUGCGUAAACCUUUUUUACUAUCUCUUGUUGAUACCCAUCCCCCGGAUUCUCAGUACAAUUGAGAAGGAUGCUGACAUAUUUGCAUGUGGCCAUAUCAGAGUAUUGCACGUACCUGGACACCAGGGGCUUAUUACAAACGGCACUGUUUAAGCCCAGUUUACAUCAUAAAGACCGAAUACCUUAGGGAGUGUUUGGCGUUGCGAGUUUGGCCUUAUAUGCAUCAGCUCUAAAUCAUGUCUUUGGUCAAAUGUUGGGUUUGCCCGGCUCCUGUGUUUUGCUGCCUUGCGUUCCGCUCUAUCGGCUAAGGCGGCACCAGGAGAACUACUGCGAUUCUGCCCUGGUUCAUCUGGACGAGCACCUCAGUAUAGAAAGCCGAAAACUGACUGUCAUGAUAUAGCGUGAGACUGGUCAACCACUCGAUGACCUAGCGGAAUCUUCGGGAUUCCUCCGCCUUAACGAAGGGCCGUUUCCUGGCCAGGCAUGUAUGCGCCCCGAAUUCGGAUGAGCACGGAGCCACCAGGGGCUAUAUAGUAGCCCCACUAUCAAACUCCUCUAGCUAAGUGAAAGUGUUAAAGCAUUAUAGUCCGAUUGCCUAGUUCGCUGCGCUAUCACCUCCUUAAUGGACCAAGACGUUGGAUCAAGUGUGAACAUGCGUCUUCUGCGAACACCCCCGCAUUAUAUGUGUGGGGGCUGAAGCCGACGACUACCAUCUUUCAGGUUAUAUACAUAAAUGGCCGCACAGGAGGCAUCAUAGUACUUUUGGGCAAAAGUAUAAAUACAGCCUUGAUAAACUCAAUAAAACAUUGUUUUUACAAUGGGAAUACAUGUCACUUAAACAUAAUAUUCUUUGAGCACUGAGCCUCUAUCAAACGAGCGCCUUCAAGAACUUCUUCAAAGUAGUGCUCGGCAGCCACUCGGCCUAUGGCUGAACCCUGUGCCGCAACAGUGGUGGCAUCCAUCUCCGCCUAGUAUGUUUUGACACGGGCAAGGGCCAUCCUCGAGCCUUCUAUGCAUGCCGACCUCUUUACAGCAUCGAUGCGUGGCACAGCACCAAGGAAUUGUUGCACUAAGCUAAAGUAGCUAUUCGGCCUUGGCCCUCCUGGCCACAGAUAAUCUAUGGAUCUCAUGGCAAGUCCAGAUAAUCUAUGGAUCUCGGCCCAACCGGUCAAUCGCUCAUUCAGCAACAGCGGACAGACUGGAGCGUGAAACUGUGACCAAUACAGCUUCUCCACUUUAGGACCUUUCUGAUCCUUGAAUUACUCGGCCGCAUCAGCAGCACUUGCAGCCAAAUCCAUGUACUCGUCCGCAGAACUCCAUAGCCAGUCCAGAGGCGCAUACUUCGGAUCCCUGAACUUAGUCCGCAACAAGAAGGGAUUCCCAGAUACAAUAUCCGCAGCUUGAUGUAGCUCCUCCUUCGUCGCUCUAAUUUUGGAGCGGGCUUCCUUGGCAGCCACCCGGGCCUUUUCCAGGUCCGCCGCCUUUGCCCGGUUUUCUUCUACAAGAAGCUGCUAACGGUCAGCAGCAUCUUUUAACUCUACAGCCAUCUUGGCUAUUUUUUCUUUGCUCUCGCAAUGCGUGGCUUGUACGGAUCUUAACUCUUUGGCCGCCUUUAAAGCGGCCGCAUUGCUACUCCUUGCUUGCUCCUUGGCUCGGGCAAGCUCCGCCCAAAGGGUCUCCAUGGUGGCAGCUCCAUCUGCAGUCACAACAUAUUAAAGAUACUGGCAUCAUGCUGCUCUUAUUAUGUGACAAUCACCAGAAAAAUCACCUACCAUGUGCCUCGUCAAGCCGCUUGUUAACAAGCACGAUGUCGGCAUCUGCCGCAUCUAGUUGCCACCUUAGUUUGGCAAACCCAUCAGUGCGGCUAGCCACCGGAGCUUCAACCACCUGCACAUAAAGGCGGUCUGGUUAUUGCCUGGGACUAUGAUCCUCUGUUUGCCGCCAUUUUCGGCGACAACCAUAGUCUCAGGGGCUACUAUCUACACAGGGCACAUCUAAAAAUGUGCAGUACUGUCAAAAAUGUACAUCAUUUCACGUACCUCAAAACCCGUCAGUAGACUCAUAAAGGCUUCAUGCAACCCGCUUUCGGCGGAUGAAAUCCUUUCAAUCAUCGUACCCAUCAACGUGCGGUGCUCUUCUGAGAUAGCCGCUUGCUCUAGCAGAUCCCUCAGUACGUCCGACCGUACACCAGACGGUGUCGGACUCUUUUGAUUGCUCUCUUUGAGAGCCGGAUACUGAGGACUUCGGGUGGCCAUAGGAUUACCUUCUGGCCUUGCCAGAUCAGGAGAAACCCUCCGCGACAACACCUCGGGGUCACCCGCCUCGUGAGGCGGUGUGGCAAGGGGAGGCGUUUCGCUCUCCAUCAUCUCUAGAAGACGAUCCCCCGAAGACGAGCUCUGCUGAGAAGGGCUAAGAUCCAAACUGCAAGAUAAAUGCUUCGAAUAUUUUCCUCAAAAGUAAAGCGAGAUAUUUUCAUUAUUAAGUACCCUUUUACUUACAGCUCGAUGGAGGGCUGGUCCCCUUGAGGGCAUAGUGUGGCCAGGGUAUCCCCCAGGGCAGGACCCUCCGGUGGAGAUUCCUUCCCCCGUUUGGAGACCAUUGUCUCCGUGUCCUCAGAGGCGGUUCUCUUCCUUCCCUGGGGAGAGGAAGUUUCAGUUCCUCCUCCCCAGCUAACCUCCUUCCCGGAGGCGCUAGCCUCCUUGUUCCCCCCUUUAUCCUCUCCUGAGGGCGCUUGAUAAGGCGCGAUCUCCAGCAUCCUGGUUAGCACGGGAUUUGGUGAGGUCUCAGGGAGGGGGGCCGGACACCUGAUCAACUUUGCCUUCGCUAUCCAAUCAUGGACAAAGAGCGGCUUUUUUAGGGCAACGUUGCUAUAAAUAAAUGGAUAGUCUGUUCGGAUGCGGGGCUACUUACUUGGGUAUCCGGGCGAUUGCAGCUCAGACCUGCAUCCUCGGUGAUGUCCAGACACAUUAUUUGUGGUCCGAAGAACAAUUUGUACAUCUCUUCGUGCGCCAUGCCGAGGAAAUGUUGAAUAGCUCGCGGUCCUUCCGGGUUGAAUUCCCACAUGCGGAGGGGCCGGCGUUUGCAAGGCUGGACUUGACGAACUAGCAUAACUUGCACUACCAUAACCAGACUGAAAUCUCUCUCAAAGAGAUCUCGAAUACAGCUUUGCAGUAUUGGCACGUCCUUGGCUGGACCCCAGCUCAGCACUUGCUGAUCCAUGACAUCAGUUGUGGUGGGGGGCCUGAGCAAAAGGUGGGGGCAGCUACCCACUUAGCACUUCAGAGAGCUGUGAUGUAGAACCACUCCCGCUGCCACAAUCCGGACACCUCUAGGAAGCAGCCCUCAGGCCAUGGAGCAUCAGCGAUUUUGCUUAUUAAAGUGCCUCCGCACGCUACGUGCUGCCCCUCGGUCAUCUUUGGCUUCACAUCGAAGGUCUUGAGCCAUAGGCCGAAGUGAGGGGUAAUGCGGAGGAAGGCCUCACAUACGACGAUAAAUGUCGAGAUGUGAAGAAGGGAAUCCGGGGCCAGAUCGUGAAAAUUUAACCCAUAAUAGAACAUAAGACCCCUAACAAAGGGAUCCAGAGUGAGGCCUAGUCCUCGGAGGAAGUGGGAGAUGAACACGACGCUCUCGUUGGGUUUGGGAGUAGGGACGACCUGCCCUCCGGCGGGCAGCCGAUGCAAAAUUUCGGCGGUCAGAUAUCUGGCCUCUCUCAACCUCUUGAUAUCCUCCUCCGUGACGGAGGAAAGCAUCCACCGACCUUGAAGGUUGGAUCCGGACAUAGUUGAAGGUCUGAAGCACCUAACCUGAGUUUUGGGUGUUAGAACUCGAGGCGGGGGAAGGAUUUGAUUGAGCACGAGAGGGAAAAAAGAAAACGCCUUGUCCCCUUUAUAAAGAGGGUGAAUAUCAAGCGUCCUCCUCGUGACCGUUUGGGACUUGCCUAAGAUCUAGGAGUCCUACCAAUAGGCAGGGUUGGGUUACCCGUGUCCUUAUUGAUGAGAAUCCCGUAAUAAAGAGGACACGAUCUCUGCUUUGACAAGACGUGCCAAGGAAACCGCCUCGCGAAACACGCUGAGAUUGGUUAUGAAAAACGAUUCGAAUAAAGACCUGGUUGUGGUGUGAUGUCACAUUACGGGGUACGUCAGUAGAUUAGAUUUAUGGAAAUAUUAUUCUCUCUACGGUGGUAUGUGGAACUUGUUUUGCAGAGCCGGACACGAUCCUCGUGUUCAAAAUCUUCUAUGAAGUAUUCGGAGGAGGAACCCGCCUUGCAAUGCCGAACACAAUUUGCGCGCCGGACUCGUCGUCAUUGAAGCCUGGUUCAGGGGCUACUGAGGGAGCCCUAGAUUAGGGGGUAUCCGGAUGGCCGGACUAUAUCCUUUGGCCGGACUGUUGGACUAUGAAGAUACAAGAUUGAAGACUUUGUCCCGUGUCCGGAUGGGACUCUCCUUGGCGUGGAAGGCAAGCUUGGCAGUACGGAUAUGUAGAUCUCCUUCCUUGUAACCGACUCUAUGUAACCCUAGCCCCCUCUGGUGUCUAUAUAAACCGAAGGGUUUAGUCCGUAGGACUAACAACAACAAUCAUACCAUAAGCUAGCUUCUAGGGUUUAGCCUCUUCGAUCUCGUGGUAGAUCAACUCUUGUACUACUCAUAUUAUCAAGAACAAUCAAGCAGGGCGUAGGGUAUUACCUCCAUCAAGAGGUCCUGAACCUGGGUAAACAUCGUGUCCCCUGCCUCCUAUUACCAUCCGCCUAGACGCACAGUUCGGGACCCCCUACCCGAGAUCCGCCGGUUUUGACACCGACGCCCGUGGCUCGUCCUUCUUAUGCUCGACACUGUAAAGGUGGUAUGCUCCAUUGUGGAGCACUCUGGUGACAAUGAAGGGACCUUCCCAAGCUGGGGCGAGCUUGUGUGGUUUCUACUGAUCCACUCAAAGAACCAAGUCUCCCUCUUGAAAGGCUCGACCCUUCACGUGUCUAGCAUGGAAUUAACGCAAGUCUUGUUGAUAAAUGGUCGACCAGAUCAAGGCCAUCUCUCUUUCCUACUCUAGGAGGUCGACUCUGUCUUGCCGAGCUUGUUCUGCUUCAUCUUCACAGAAGAGCUCAACUCGUGGUGCAUUAUGAAGCAAGUCACUCGGUAGAACAGCUUCAGCCCCAUAGACCAAGAAGAAUGGAGUUCGGCCAGUCGACCGAUUAGGAGUUGUCCUCAAUCCCCAGAGAACUGAUGUAAGUUCAUCAACCUAGGCGCCCACUGCGUGCUUGAGAUCUCACAUCAGUCCGGGUUUCAGUCCUUUGAGAAUCAGGCCAUUUUCUCUUUCUGCUUGUCCAUUCGACUGGGGAUGGGCGACUGAAGCAUAGUCGACUUGUGUGCCUUGUGAGGCGCAGAAGGUUCUGAACUCAUCAGAAUCGAAGUUUGAUCCGUUGUCAGUGAUGAUGUUGUGCGGAACCCCAUAUCUGAAAAUCAACUCUCUGAUGAAGCUGACAGCAGUACUAGCUUCAAGAUUCUUAAUAGGAUUGGCUUCGGUCCAUUUGGUAAACUUGUCGACUGCUACAAGCACAUGAGUGAAGCCGCUCCUACCAGUCUUUAGUGGACCAACCAUGUCCAAUCCCCAAACAGCAAAGGGCUAGACGAGUGGGAUGGUCUUUAGGGCUGAUGCAGGUUUGUGCGACAUAUUGGAGUAGAACUGGCAGCCUUCACAUCUGUCGACUAUAUCUUUUGCCAUUUCAUUUGCUCGUGGCCAAUAAAAUCCAGCUCGGUAUGCUUUAGCCACAAUGGUCCGAGAGGACGCAUGGUGACCACAGGUCCCCUAAUGGAUGUCGUGGAGGAUCACUCGGCCUUCUUCUGGUGUUAUGCAUUUCUGGCUGACCCCAGUUGCACUUUCUCUAAACAGUUGACCUCUUAUUACAGUAAAGGCCUUGGAUCGACGGACGAUCUGUCGAGCCUCUUCUUCCUCCUCUGGGAGCUCUUUCCUAAGGAUAUAUGCAAUGUAUGGCACUGUCCAAUCUAGAGUCAUGACCAACACCUCCAUGAUUAAGUCGACCACGGCUGGGACCUCGACUUCAGUCAGAUCUGUGGCACUCCUAGGCUGCGGGGGCUCUUCAGCAAAGGGAUCUUCUUGAACUGAAGGUGCAUGAAUAUGCUCCAGGAACACAUUGCUGGGAAUAGCUUCUCUCUUGGAGCCUAUCUUUGCUAAAUCAUCUGCUGCUUGAUUUUUCAGUCGGGUACAUGAUGGAGCUCUAACCCCUCAAACUUCCUUUCCAACUUCCUCACCGCGUUGCAGUAACUAGUCAUGGUUGGGCUUCUGACGUCCCACUCCUUCAUCACUUGAUUGACUACCAAAUCUGAGUCGCCAUAGACCAUGAGGCGACGGACACCGAGUGAAAUGGCCAUACGCAACCCAUACAAGAGUGCUUCAUAUUCUGCUUCGUUAUUGGAGGAAUCAAAGUGAAUUUGGAGGACAUAUCUGAGCUUGUCUCCUCGGGGGGAUACCAGUACCACCCUAGCACCGGAACCAUUCAGCAUCUUGGAACCAUCAAAGAACAUGGUCCAGUGCUCCGAGUGAACUUGAGUCGGCAGUUGUUGUUCAAUCCACUCAGCGAGGAAAUCUGCUAUUGCUUGGGACUUGAUAGCUUUAUUUGCCCCAAACUUGAUAUCUAAGGGAAGGAGUUCAAUCGCCCACUUUGUCACUCGACCAGUUGCAUCUCUAUUGUUCAGAAUCUCUGAUAAUGGGGCGUCGCUGACGACUGUAAUGGAGUGAUCAGAGAAGUAAUGUGCAACCUUCUUCAUGGUCAUAUAAAUCCCAUAAACAAGCUUCUGAUAAUGUGGAUAUCUUUGCUUUGAUGGAGUCAAAACUUCAGAGACAUAGUAUACUGGGCACUGAACUUUGUAAGCUUUUCCUUCUUCUUCCCGUUCGACCGUAAUUACUGUACUGACGACUUGUCCAGUGGCUGCAAUGUAAAGCAGUAAAGGCUCUUUGCUGAUUGGAGCAGCAAGCACCGGCUGGGUGGAAAGCAGGGCUUUGAGCUCUGCAAAUGCUGCAUCAGCUUCAUGAGUCCACUCGAACUUAUCUGACUUCUUCAUCAGUCGGUAAAGAGGCAGUGCCUUUUCACCGAGGCGAGAAAUUAAUCGACUUAGGGCGGCCAAACAACCAGUAAGCUUCUGGACAUCAUGCACACGCACAGGGCGUUUCAUCCGGAGUAUGGCACCCACUUUCUCUGGGUUAGCGUCGAUCCCCCAUUCGGAAACGAGAAAACGGAGUAAUUUUCCGCCUGGAACUCCAAACAUGCACUUUGAUGGAUUAAGCUUGAUAUCAUACCUUCUGAGGUUGGCAAAGGUUUCAGCAAGGUUAGCCAGUAGGUCGAAACCUUUUUGUGACUUGACCACAAUGUCAUCCAUGUAUGCUUCCACAUUCUGACUGAUUUGAGUGAGCAGACACUUCUGGAUCAUCCUCAUGAAUGUGGCUCCGGCGUUCUUCAAACCGAAUGGCAUAGUGACAUAACAGAAGCACCCAAAUGGGGUGAUGAAAGCGGUUUUUAUCUCAUCGGGUCCGUACAGAUGGAUCUGAUGAUACCCGGAAUAAGCGUCCAAAAAGGACAAACGCUCACACCCCGCAGUCGAGUCGACUAUUUGGUCGAUGCGGGGGAGAGGAAAGUGAUCUUUCGGGCAGGCCCGAUUGAUAUGUUUGAAGUCGAUGCACAUGCGAAGUGAGUCGUCCUUCUUUGGGACCAUGACAACAUACCACUCGGAGUGGUAAAUCUCUCGGAUAAACUUGGCUGCCAGAAGUCAAGCCACUUCUUCACCGAUUGCCUUCCUCUUCUGUACGGCGGACCAUCGAAGAUGUUCUAUGACAUGUUUCACCUUUGGGUCGAGUCGCAAACGAUGCUCAGCCAGUCCCCUGGGAACACCUGGCAUGUUAGAAGGUUUCCAUGCAAAGAUGUCCCAGUUCUCACGGAGGAACUGGAUGAGCGCUUCUUCCUAUUUGGAGUCGAGUGUUGUUGAAAUGUGAGUCGGAGCAACAUUGGGAUCCGUUGGAUGAAUAUGAAUCGGCUUCGUUUCACCAGACGACUGGAAUGUUGAAUCAGUGGCAAGCUUCUUAGCUCGCAACAAAUCACUCAGAUUUGCAUUUUUUUGAUACUCCUGCAACUCCACUAUUGCCAUUUGUGCAUCGACGAUCUUUGAGCCCUUCUGGAAGCACUCUUUUGCCUUAUUUCGACUGCUAGUGAUAGUGAUCACCCCUUUAGGACCAGGCAUCUUCAAUUUGAGGUACACGUAACAGCAUCGUGAAGGAAAUAUGCCCUAGAGGCAAUAAUAAAGUUAUUAUUUAUUUCCUUAUUUCAUGAUAAAUGUUUAUUAUUCAUGCUAGAAUUGUAUUAACCGGAAACAUAAUACAUGUGUGAAUACAUAGACAAAUAGAGUGUCACUAGUAUGCCUCUACUUGACUAGCUCGUUAAUCAAAGAUGGUUAUGUUUCCUAACCAUAGACAAAGAGUUGGUAUUUGAUUAACGGGAUCACAUCAUUAGGAGAAUGAUGUGAUUGACUUGACCCCUUCCGUUAGCUUAGCACUCGAUCGUUUAGUAUGUUGCUAUUGCUUUCUUCAUGACUUAUACAUGUUCCUAUGACUAUGAGAUUAUGCAACUCCCGUUUACCGGAGGAACACUUUGUGUGCUACCAAACGUCACAACGUAACUGGGUGAUUAUAAAGGAGCUCUACAGGUGUCUCCAAAGGUACAUGUUGGGUUGGCGUAUUUCGAGAUUAGGAUUUGUCACUCCGAUUGUCGGAGAGGUAUCUUUGGGCCCUCUCGGUAAUGCACAUCACAUAAGCCUUGCAAACAUUGCAACUAAUGAGUUAGUUGUGAGAUGAUGUAUUACGAAACGAGUAAAGAGACUUGCCGGUAACGAGAUUGAACUAGGUAUUGAGAUACCGACGAUCGAGUCUCGGGCAAGUAACAUACCGAUGACAAAGGGAACAAAGUAUGUUGUUAUGCGGUCUGACCGAUAAAGAUCUUCGUAGAAUAUGUAGGAGCCAAUAUGAGCAUCCAGAUUCCGCUAUUGGUUAUUGACCGGAGACGUGUCUCGGUCAUGUCUACAUUGUUCUCGAACCCGUAGGGUCCGCAUGCUUAAGGUUUCGAUGACAGUUAUAUUAUGAGUUUAUGAGUUUUGAUGUACCGAAGGAGUUCGGAGUCCCGGAUGAGAUCGGGGACAUGACGAGGAGUCUCGAAAUGGUCGAGACGUAAAGAUCGAUAUAUUGGACGACUAUAUUCGGACAUCGGAAAGGUUCCGAGUGGUUCGGGUAUUUUUUGGAGUACCGGGGAGUUACAGGGAUACGGGGGAAGAAGUAUAUGGGCCUUAUUGGGCUUUAGGGGAGAGGGAGAGGCAGGCCGCGCCCCCCCCCCCCAUUGACUAGUCCGAAUUGGACUAGGGGGAGGGGCGGCGCCCCCUCCUUCCUUCUCUUCCCUUUUCCCCUUCCUUGUCUCCUACUCCUACUACUUGGAAGGACUCCUAGUUGGACUAGGAAAGGGGGAAUCCUACUCCCGGUGGGAGUAGGACUCCCCUAGGGCGCGCCAUAGAGAGGGUCGGCCCUCCCCUCCUCCACUCCUUUAUAUACGGGGGCAGGGGGCACCCCAUAGACACACAAGUUGAUCUUCGUGAUCGUUCUCUUAGCCGUGUGCGGUGCCCCCUUCCACCAUAAUCCUCGAUAAUAUUGUAGCGGUGUUUAGCCAAAGCCCUGCGACGGUAGAACAUCAAGAUCGUCACCACGCCGUCGUGCUGACGGAACUCUUCCCCGACACUUUGCUAGAUCGGAGUACGAGGAUAGUCAUCAAGCUGAACGUGUGCUAGAACUCGGAGGUGCCGUAGUUUUGGUGCUUGAUCGGUCGGGCCGUGAAGACGUACGACUACAUCAACCGCGUUUUCAUAACGCUUCCGCUGUCGGUCUACAAGGGUACGUAGACAACACUCUCCCCUCUCGUUGCUAUGCAUCACCAUCAUCUUGCGUGUGCGUAGGAAAUUUUUUGAAAUUACUACGUUCCCCAACAGUGGCAUCUGAGCCUAGGUUUUAUGCGUUGAUGUUUUGCACGAGUAGAACACAAGUGAGUUGUGGGCGAUAUAAGUCAUACUGCUUACCAGCAUGUCAUACUUUGGUUCGGCGGUAUUGUUGGAUGAAGCGGCCCGGACCGACAUUACGCGUAUGCUUACGCGAGACUGGUUCUACCGACGUGCUUUGCACACAGGUGGCUGGCGGGUGUCAGUUUCUCCAACUUUAGUUGAACCAAGUGUGGCUACGCCCGGUCCUUGCGAAGGUUAAAACAGCACCAACUUGACAAACUAUCGUUGUGGUUUUGAUGCGUAGGUAAGAACAGUUCUUGCUCAGCCCGUAGCAGCCACGUAAAACUUGCAACAACAAAGUAGAGGACGUCUAACUUGUUUUUGCAGGGCAUGUUGUGAUGUGAUAUGGUCAAGACGUGAUGACAUAUAAGUUCUUGUAUGAGAUGAUCAUGUUUUGUUGAAGUUAUCGGCAACUGGCAAAAUUCUUAUGGUUGUCUCUCUAUUGCAUAAGAUGCAAGUGCCCAAUAAUUGAUUUACUUUAUCGCUAUGCGAUAGCAAUAGUUGCAAGAGCAAUUGUUGGCGAGACGACCACGUGACGACACAUUGAUAUAGAUCAAGAUGAUGGAGAUCAUGGUGUCAUGCCGGUGACGAUAGAGAUCAUGACAGUACUUUGGAGAUGGAAAUCAAAGGCGCAAGAUGAUGAUGGCCAUAUCAUGUCACAUAUUUUGAUUGCAUAUGAUGUGUAUCUUUUAUACAUCUUAUUUUGCUUAGUUUGAUGGUAGCAUUUUAAGAUGAUCUCUCACUAAUUAUCAAGAAGUGUUCUCCCUGAGUAUGCACCGUUGCGAAAGUUCUUCGUGCUGAGACACCACGUGAUGAUCGGGUGUGAUAGGCUCUACGUUCAAAUACAACGGGUGCAAAACAGUUGCACACGCGGAAUACUCAGUUUAUACUUGACGAGCCAAGCAUAUACAGAUAUGGCCUCGGAACACGGAGACCGAAGGGUCGAGCGUGAAUCAUAUAGUAGAUAUGAUCAACAUAGUGAUGUUCACCAAUGAAACUACUCCAUCUCACGUGAUGAUCAGACAUGGUUUAGUUGAUUUGGAUCACGUGAUCACUUACAGGAUUAGAGGGAUGUCCAUCUAAGUGGGAGUUCUUAAGUAAUAUGAUUAAUUGAACUUAAAUUUAUUGUGAACUUAGUCCUGGUAGUAUUUUGCAAAUUAUGUUGUAGAUCAAUAGCUCACGUUGUUGCUUUCAAAUGUUUAUUUUCAUAUGUUCCUAGAGAAAAUUGUGUUGAAAGAUAUUAGUAGCAAUGAUGCGGAUUGGAUCCGUGAUCUGAGGUUUAUCCUCAUUGUUGCACAGAAGAAUUAUUUCCUUGAUGCACCGCUAGGUGACAGACCUAUUGCAGGAGCAGAUGCAGACGUUAUGAACGUUUGGCUAGCUCAAUAUGAUGACUACUUGAUAGUUUAGUGCACCAUGCUUAACGGCUUAGAAUCGGGACUUCAAAGACGUUUUGAACGUCAUGGACCAUAUGAGAUGUUCCAGGAAUUGAAGUUAAUAUUUCAAGCAAAUACCCGAGUUGAGAGAUAUGAAGUCUCCAACAAGUUCUAUAGCUAAAAGAUGGAGGAUAAUCGCUCAACUAGUGAGCAUGUGCUCAGAUUGUCUGGGUACUACAAUCACUUGAAUCAAGUGGGAGUUAAUCUUCCAGAUAAAAUAGUGAUUGACAGAAUUCUCUAGUCACCAUCACCAAUUUAGUAGAACUUCGUGAUGAACUAUGAUAUGCAAGGAUAAUGGAAACGAUUCCCAAGCUCUUCAUAAUGCUGAAAUCGACGAAGGUAGAAAUCAAGAAAAACAUCAAGUGUUGAUGGUUGACAAGACCACUAGUUUCAAGAAAAGGGCAAAAGGAAGAAAGGGAACUUCAAGAAGAACGGCAAGCAAGUUGCUGCUCAAGUGAAGAAGCCCAAGUCUGGACCUAAGCCUGAGACUAAGUGCUUCUACUGCAAAGGAACUGGUCACUGGAAGCGGAACUACCCCAAGUAUUUGGCGGAUAAGAAGGAUGGCAAAGUGAACAAAGGUAUAUUUGAUAUACAGAUUAUUGAUGUGUAUUUUACUAGUGUUCAUAGCAACCCCUCGGUAUUUGAUACUGGUUCAGUUGCUAAGAGUAGUAACUCGAAAUGGGAGUCGCAGAAUGAACAUAAACUAGUUAAGGGUGAAGUGAUGAUGUGUGUUGGAAGUAGUUCCAAGAUUGAUAUGAUCAUCACCGCACACUCCCUAUACUUUCGGGAUUAGUGUUGAACCUAAAUAAGUGUUAUUUGGUGUUUGUGUUGAGCAUGAAUAUGAUUUGAUCAUGUCUAUUGCAAUACAGUUAUUCAUUUAAGUUAGAGAAUAAUUGUUGUUCUAUUUACAUGAAUAAAACCUCAUAUGGUUACACACCCAAUGAAAAUGGUUCAUUGGAUCUCGAUCAUAGUGAUACACAUAUUCAUAAUAUUGAAGACAAAAGAUGCAAAGUUAAUAAUGAUAGUGCAACUUAUUUGUGGCACUGCCGUUUAGGUCAUAUUGGUGUAAAGCGCAUGAAGAAACUCCAUGCUGAUGGGAUUGUGGAAUCACUUGAUUAUGAAUCACUUGGUGCUUGCGAACCAUGCCUUAUAGGCAAGAUGACUAAGACUCCGUUCUCCGGAACAAUGGAGCGAGCAACUGACUUAUUGGAAAUAAUACAUACUGAUGUACGUGAUCCGAUGAGUGUUGAGGCUCACGGCGGGUAUCGUUAUUUUCUGACCUUCACAGAUGAUUUGAGCAGAUAUGGGUAUAUCUACUUAAUGAAACACAAGUCUGAAACAGUUGAAAAGUUCAAAGAAUUUUAGAGUGAAGUGGAGAAUCAUCGUAAUAAAAAAUAAAAGUUUCUACGAUAUGAUCGCAGAAGUAAAAUAUUUGAGUUACGAGUUUGGCCUUCAGUUAAAAACAAUGUGAAAUAGUUUCACUACUCACGCCACCUGGAACACCACAGCAUAAUGGUGUGUCCGAACGUCAUAACCAUACUUUAUUAGAUAUGGUGUGAUCUAUGAUGUCUCUUACCGAUCUACCACUAUUGUUUUGGGGUUAUACAUUAGAGAUAGUUGCAUUCACGUUAAAUAGGGCACCAUCUAAGUCCGUUGAGACGACACAAUCUGAACUGUGGUUUGGCAAGAAACCAAAGUUGUCGUUUCUUAAAGUUUGAGGUUGCAAUGCUUAUGUGAAAAAGUUUCAACCUGAUAAGCUCAAACCCAAAUCGGAGAAGUGCGUCUUCAUAGGAUACCCAAAAAGAAAAUGUUGGGUACACCUUCUAUCACAGAUCCUAAGGCAAGAUAUUCAUUGCUAAGAAUGGAUCCUUUCUAGAGAAGGAGUUUCUCUCGAAAGAAGUGAGUGGGAGGAAAGUAAAACUUGAUGAGGUAAUUGUACCUGCUCCCUUAUUGGUAAGUAGUUCAUCACAGAAAUCUAUUCCUGUGACUACUACACCAAUUAGUGAGGAAGCUAAUGAUGAUGAUCAUGUAACUUUAGAUCAAGUUACUACCGAACCUCGUAGGUAAACCAGAGUGAGAUCCGCACCAGAGUGGUACGGUAAUCCUGUUCUGGAGGUCAUGUUACUUGACCAUGACGAGCCUACGAACUAUGAGGAAGCGAUGAUGAGCCCAGAUUCCGUGAAAUGGCUUGAGGCCAUGAAAUCUGAGAUGAGAUCCAUGUAUGAGAACAAAGUAUGGACUUUGAUUGACUUGCCCAAUGAUCGGUGAGCCAUUAAGAUCAAAUGAAUCUUCAACAGGAAGACGGAUGCUGAUAGUAGUGUUACUAUCUACAAAGCUAGAAUUGUCGCAAAAAGUUUUUCGACAAGUUCAAGGUGUUGACUACGAUGAGAGUUUCUCACUCAUAUUUAUGCUUAAGUCUGUUCGAAUCAUGUUAGCAAUUGCCGCAUUUUAUGAAAUCUGGCAAAUGGAUAAACAAAACUGCAUUCCUUAAUGGAUUUAUUAAAGAAGAGUUGUAUAUGAUGCAACCGGAAGGUUUUGUCAAUCCUAAAUGUACUAACAAAAUAUGCAAGCUCCAGCGAUCCAUCUAUGGACUGGUGCAAGCAUCUCGGAGUUGGAAUAUACGCUUUGAUAAGUUGAUCAAAGCAUAUAGUUUUAUACAGACUUGCGGUGAAGCCUGUAUUUACAAGAAAGUGAGUGGGAGCUCUGUAGCAUUUCUGAUAUUAUAUGUGGAUGACAUAUUGCUAAUCGAAAAUGAUAUAGAAUUUCUGGAUAGCAUAAAAGGAUACUUGAAUAAGAGUUUUUCAAUGAAAGACCUCGGUGAAGCUGCUUACAUAUUGGGCAUUAAGAUCUAUAGAGAUAGAUCAAGACGGUUAAUUGGACUUUCACAAAGCACAUACCUUGACAAAGUUUUGAAGAAGUUCAAAAUGGAUCAAGCAAAGAAAGGAUUCUUGCCUGUGUUACAAGGUGUGAAGUUGAGCAAGACUCAAAGCCCGACCACGGCAGAAGAUAGAAAGAGAAUGAAAGUCAUUCCCUAUGCCACAGCCAUAGGUUCUAUAAAGUAUGCCAUGUUGUAUACCAGAUCUAUUGUAUACCCUACAUUAUUUUUGGCAAGGGAGUACAAUAGUGAUCUAGGAGUAGAUCACUGGACAGCGGUCAAAAUUAUCCUUAGUGGAAUAAGGAUAUGUUUCUCGAUUAUGGAGGUGACAAAAAGGUUCAUCGUAAAGGGUUACGUCGAUGCAAGUUUUGACACUGAUCCAGAUGACUCUAAGUCUUAAUCUGGAUACAUAUUGAAAGUGGGAGCAAUUAGCUAGAGUAGCUCCGUGCAGAGCAUUGUUGACAUAGAAAUUUGCAAAAUACAUACGGAUCUGAGUGUGGCAGACCCGUUGACUAAACUUCUCUCACAAGCAAAACAUGAUCACACCUUAGUACUCUUCGGGUGUUAAUCACAUAGUGAUGUGAACUAGAUUAUUGGCUCUAGUAAACCCUUUGAUUGUUGGUCACAUAACGAUGUGAACUAUGGGUGUUAAUCACAUGAUGAUGUGAACUAUUGGUGUUAAAUCACAUGGCAAUGUGAACUAGAUUAUUGACUCUAGUGCAAGUGGGAGACUGGAGGAAAUAUGCCCUAGAGGCAAUAAUAAAGUUAUUAUUUAUUUCCUUUUUCAUGAUAAAUGUUUAUUAUUCAUGCUAGAAUUGUAUUAACCAGAAACAUAAUACAUAUGUGAAUACAUAGACAAACAGAGUGUCACUAGUAUGCCUCUACUUGACUAGCUCGUUAAUCAAAGAUGGUUAUGUUUCCUAACCAUAGACAAAGAGUUGUUGUUUGAUUAACGGGAUCACAUCAUUAGGAGAAUGAUGUGAUUGACUUGACCCCUUCCGUUAGCUUAGCACUCGAUCGUUUAGUAUAUUGCUAUUGCUUUCUUCAUGACUUAUACAUGUUACCAUGACUAUGAGAUUAUGCAACUCCCGUUUACCGGAGGAACACUUUGUGUGCUACCAAACGUCACAACGUAACUGGGUGAUUAUAAAGGAGCUCUACAGGUGUCUCCAAAGGCACAUGUUGGGUUGGCGUAUUUCGACAUUAGGAUUUGUCACUCUGAUUGUCGGAGAGGUAUCUCUGGGCCCUCUCAGUAAUGCACAUCACAUAAGCCUUGCAAGCAUUGCAACUAAUGAGUUAGUUGCGAGAUGAUGUAUUACGAAACGAGUAAAGAGACUUGCCGGUAACGAGAUUGAACUAGGUAUUGAGAUACCGACGAUCGAGUCUCGGGCAAGUAACAUACCGACGACAAAGGGAACAAAGUAUGUUGUUAUGCGGUCUGACCGAUAAAGAUCUUCGUAGAAUAUGUAGGAGCCAAUAUGAGCAUCCAGGUUCCGCUAUUGGUUAUUGACCGGAGACGUGUCUCGGUCAUGUAUACAUUGUUCUCGAACCCAUAGGGUCCGCACGCUUAAGGUUUCGAUGACAGUUAUAUUAUGAGUUUAUGAGUUUUGGUGUACCGAAGGAGUUUGGAGUCCCGGAUGAGAUCGGGGACAUGACGAGGAGUCUCGAAAUAGUCGAGACGUAAAGAUCGAUAUAUUGGACGACUAUAUUCGGACAUCGGAAAGGUUCCGAGUGGUUCGGGUAUUUUUUGGAGUAUCAGGGAGUUACGGGAAUACGGGGGAAGAAGUAUAUGGGCCUUAUUGGGCUUUAGGGGAGAGGGAGAGGCAGGUCGCGCGCCCCGCCCCCCAUUGACUAGUCCGAAUUGGACUAGGGGGAGGUGCGGCGCCCCCUCCUUCCUUCUCUUCCCUCUUCCCCUUCCUUGUCUCCUACUCCUACUACUUGGAAGGACUCCUAGUUGGACUAGGAAAGGGGGGAUCCUACUCCCGGUGGGAGUAGGACUCCCCUAGGGCGCGCCAUAGAGAGGGCCGGCCCUCCCCUCCUCCACUCCUUUAUAUACGGGGGCAGGGGGCACCCCAUAGACACACAAGUUGAUCUUCGUGAUCGUUCUCUUAGCCGUGUGUGGUGCCCCCUUCCACCAUAAUCCUCGAUAAUAUUGUAGCGGUGCUUAGGCGAAGCCCUGCGACGGUAGAACAUCAAGAUCGUCACCACGCCGUCGUGCUGACGGAACUCUUCCCCGACACUUUGCUGGAUCGGAGUCCGGGGAUAGUCAUCGAGCUGAAUGUGUGCUAGAACUCGGAGAUGCCGUAGUUUCGGUGCUUGAUCGGUCGGGCCGUGAAGACGUACGACUACAUCAACCGUGUUUUCAUAACGCUUCCGUUGUCGGUCUACAACGGUACGUAGACAACACUCUCCCCUCUUGUUGCUAUGCAUCACCAUGAUCUUGCGUGUGCGUAGGAUUUUUUUUGAAAUUACAACGUUCCCCAACAGGUCGAGCCAUAAAACGCGCAUAAGAUGGCCUGCCUAGAAUAGCGUGAUAAGCACUCCGGAAAUCCACAACUUCAAAUGUCAACUUUUCUUUGCGGUAAUUCUUGGAAUCACCGAACACUACGUCGAGAGCGAUCUGGCCGAGUAAUGCAGCCUUCUUGCCAGGAAUGACUCCAUGGAAACUCAUAUUACUUUCGCUGAGUCUGGACAUCGGAAUGCCCAUUCCUUUCAACAUCUCUGCAUAUAGUAUAUUCAGACCACUGCCACCAUCCAUUAGAACCUUAGUCAAUCGAGUGCCUUCGACUACUGGGUCGACCACCAGCGCUUGCCUCCCAGGGGUGGCUAUGUGCGCUGGGUGAUCGGACUGGUCGAAUGUAAUGGCAGUCUGAGACCACUUCAAAUAACUGGGUGUCAUCGGAGCAACCAUGUUCACUUCUUUGUUGAUGACUUUCAGUCGACUCUUGCUCUCAACUUCAGCAAAAAUCAUCAGAGUGGAAUUGACGUGGGGGUAACCAUCAUCGUCCUCCUCCUCAUCCUCAACUUUGUCUGCUUCCUUCUCCUUUUCCUUGGGUUGUUUCUCUCGGAAUUGCUGGAUUAGGAGUCGACACUGUCGAGUGGUAUGCUUUGGGUAAAUGAAAUUACCCUCUUCAUCUUUCUUGGUGUGAAUGUGGCAUUGUAAAUCCAGCACAUCAUUUCCAUCUUGAUCUUUUACUUUCUUGGGGUUCCACGGCCCUUUGGGUUUCCCCUUGAACUUCCCUUGAGUUACGGCCAAGGCUUCUCCAGGAGUAGCUGGCUCGGCUUUGCGCUUCUGCUUCCGACUCGAGUUCCCUCCUCCGGUUUCGUGAGCGACCGUUUUGUGCUUGCCACUCCGGAGUCGGUCUUCUUCUUCACCAUUGGCGUACUUGGUGGCAAUCUCCAUCAUCCGAGUCAGAGUCAUAUCUCCUGUUCGACCGAAUUUCAGAUUCAACUCCCAAUACUUAACGCCUUCUUUGAAGGCACAAAUUGCUUGGUGAUCUGACACAUUCUCCAUUGUGUGGUGCAACGUGAUCCAUCUCUGGAUAUAAUCCCUCAAAGUUUCAUUCGGUUUCUGAACGCAACACCGUAGUUCUGUCAACCCUGCUGGCCGCUUGCAAGUACCUUCAAAUGUUCUGACAAAUACUCGAGCAAGAUCUUCCCAAGUAUAAAUACUACCAAGAGCUAACUGAUUCAGCCACGCCCUGGCCGAGCCCUCUAGCAUCAAAGGAAGGUGCUUCAUGGCCACUUCAUCAUUGCCGCCACUGACCUGUACGGCCACUCGGUAAUCCUCAAGCCAAGUGUCAGGCUUGGACUCACCAGUGAACUUAUUGACUCCAGUCGCCAACCUAAAGUUGGGAGGAAUCACCGCAGCCCUGAUGGCUCUGCUGAAGCACUCUGGGCCUGAGACAUGCACUCUGCUGCUGGUUGGAAAAUCUCUGUCGGGGCCUUCUCUGUGAGCUCUGUUUCUGUCGACCAGACCCUGAACGAGAAUAGAUCUCGCAUCAAAGCCCGGUUCACUAGGGUUGACUGGAAUCCUUUGCCCACCACUGUGAGGGCGUCUAUCAUCCUGCUGCCGAGGCACGUAUGAUCCACUCCUUGGGGGAGGCGUGAGCACUCGACGACGAUCAUCGUGAUCGAGUCGGUGAUCAUACUGCUCACGGUUUCUGUACUGAUCUCGUCGGUCUCCACGUCCCUCACGCCUCGGGAGCGAUCUUGGACUGUGAGCCGACUAGACUGUGUCUGCAACCACGGAUCUGCUGUGAAUCCUAUUCCGCGACUGAGAUACUACUGUAUUCUGCUCUCCCGCGGCUCGGAGCAAGGCCCGGAUCUGCACCAAACCCCGACCAGCUUCUGACUGGGAAGGUUGAAUUGACUCUGCUAUUCGGGCCGCAGCUGCGAGAUUCUGGAUUGGAGUUCGCUAUACCUGAGUUGGAGGUGGAAAAAUGUGAUGUCGACUGGAUUCGGGAGCACGCUGCUGAGCACGCUCGUCGAGUGCGCGCUGGAGGUUAUCUAGUCGAGUGCGCUCAGCCAAGUUGGCCAGGCGCGCCUCCUCCAAGGCCUGGGCCUCAGGGGUUUCUCCAACGAUAGGAGUGUGAAGUGCAUCCAUGUUUCGGCGGUGAAGUUCCUCCUUCCUCUGCAAAGAGAGGGGUUCGGGUCGGUACUCUUCAUGGACACGGGACGGAUCACCGCCACCAUCGCCUCCGUCCUCACGGGUGAAGCCAGGAGGACUACGUGGUCCAUUGACCAUCAAAACUUCCGCCGCGGGGUCGCUGUUGUCGCACUCGGAUGCAGUCCCUACGGAGCCAGUCGAACAGGCCAUAGAGAGUUUCGUAGGGCUCGAUUGUCCCGACCUGGGGGGUGGCCGAUUGGCGAGCCACCGCAUGCCUCACCCACCACUGAAGCCUCGACCGACCGGAACGUUUGCCCCGGCGGGCUACAGGGAGGGAGGUCGGCACGGGAGCCGACCGAUACUGAGUCGACGGCUGCCGUAGGAGGACGCCACGGACGCACGCACGAAAGUGCGUUGCCCUGCGGACGGGGAGCGCCUCAACGUCGAGUGGCGCUUCCUGGAGCCAAGCGGAGUCAUCGGCGAUGAAUACAAGCGCACCGAGAUGGAUCUCGUGGCCCUUGGCCAAACCUCCACCUGAAACCAUGUUGAUGGGGAUCGGAAAAAUCACAACUUCUCCAACAAGUCGCUAAGACACCUGCCCCACGGUGGGCGCCAACUGUCGUGGUUCUAAGUCUGACAGUAGAAUGGGGGGUAGGAAUGUAGAGGCAAGAUCCUAGCUAUGGAGGAGUUGUACACACGAGUUUUACGAGUUCAGGCCCUUCUCGGAGGAAGUAACAGCCCUAUGUCUCGGAGCCCGGAGGUGGUCGACUGGAUUAUAUGCGUGUGUGUUACAGGGGGUGCGAACCCUUGUCCCUGAGGAGGGGGUGGCUUAUAUAGAGUUCGCCAGACCCCUCCCACCCUCAGUUACAAAGGGUUUAAGGUACAUAAAGAUGGGCACGUUACUGGUAACGCCUACAAUAAGGAUACAUAAUGACCAUUAAAGCUAUGACUUAAUUCCCGACCGUUGUAGAGUGGAGUGGCUCUAGAUCUUCUGGUAAUCGAGUGAUUGUCCAUACGGUCGAGUGUCUUCAAGACUGUCGAGUGGAACAUAACUUCAUGGUCGAGUGGAUGAUGAUUUUUCUUCGAAUGCUUCUGACUCCUUUAGAGAUGUCCUUGGGAAGGGUAUCUUGGACAGAUCCAUGACCCUACCCUAGGUACAUAGCUUCAUCACCGUCCAUGUCCGGCUACGCCACUAUUGCGUUGCGAGAGGCAACUUGAGCGAGGGAGGCGACCUCGAGCUUCAUCCCCGAAGACAAGCUCUCCCACAGAGCGUUCGCACUUGCGGUCAUGGCGGAUGUGGUGCCAGGUAGGAGGACGAUGCGCUAUGGUGUGGAGGUUAGCUGGGCGUUGUCGCUUUAAGUAGCGCAUUCUGGUGAGGCCGAGCGUCCGGGUGCGUCAUUAAGUCGCCGGAGUUGGUUCCUCGGGCACUGAGCCUCUUAACGACGACAUACGAACGGACGGCAUGAAUGCGGGCAGCUAGCACCGGCUGGGAACGCACCGCACGACGGUGCGAGGGACGAGGGUUUUGGUGUGCCAGGGUAGUCAGUUGCGGUCGUGGCAACGUUGGAGAUGCCCUUUGCUCACAUGCGAUCCCCGCAUGUCAUUGAAAAAGCAAGACGACUCGGCAUGGUCUCAGGUCCAGAGGAUGCAGUUGGCCGCGCUACACCACUCCGCGAACGCGUCGCGGCGCCCCGUGCAUCCUCGACGAGCCGGGUGUUGGGGUGUGUUUGGAUUGUGGCCAAAGUGCACCCUACCAAAAUUUUGUUCAUGACCCAAAGAUUGGUCUUUGUUUGGAUGGUUGUCAUUUUUUGGCAUGCCAAUGAACUCUAGCCAACCCUAGUUCAUUUUUCUUGCCAAUGUCGGCCAAAUCAUGGGCAACCAAUACCUCAACCAAAAUUUUGGUCAUGACCCAAAGAUUGGUCUUUGUUUGGAUGGUUGCCAUUUCUUUGGCAUGCCAAUGAACUAUCGCCAACUCUAGUUCAUUUUUCUUGCCAAUGUCGGCCAAAUCAUGGGCAACCAAUACCUCAACCAAAACUUUGGCUACCCAAUGCUUUGAUGGGGCAACCUUGGGCACAAACAAAACAUACUGUUGGUCGUGCCACAGCACUAACGCCACCCUCGGCACACUGAAACCGACCGUGUCUAGUGACGAUAUGAGCGUGUCGCUCACCGUGGUCGCCGUGUCCAGAGGCGAUGCUGGAGCUGCGCCCCGUUGUUGGCCCCAACGACCCACAUGAACGGUUGUCGAUGGCGAGGAGGUCGUGGGCCAGCUCCUCCAUUGGACUAGUCUGCGCUACGUCGUCCCGACGGGUGUGCCCCACAUGUCGGUUUCCCUGUUUUCCCGGCCAUAAUCGAGCGUCAGUGCUCCGCGUUGCACAUUAGGCCUUUCACUAUGUAGGCCAAGCGAGACAACUUAUUGUUUAUUUGAGCCGUUCAAGUAUAAUCAUGUGGCGUUUGCUUAUUUCUCAUUCCUCUCCAACCCUCUUCUCCAUCGAUCAUGUCGCCCUCCAGUCAAGUCCAUCCUCCCGCAUGCCUCAUUUGAACAUUCCACCGAGUAUCAUUCGCAUGUACCCACCCUAGUCCUCUUUCAAUAGAUCUCCGGACCCCGAGAUGAAAUCGAUAGGGAACGAGUGGGGGCACGUGAUACCUAAGGCGGAUUCAAAAUUUUGAACCGGUGAUCAUAGCAUCCACAAAUCAUAUAUAAAGGGUAUUCAAUGUUCGUUUCAUUUUUGAACGUACAAUAUACUCCCUCCUGUCCUUUCUAGUUUACAUAUAAGUUUUAUGUGUAGUCAAAGUAUCUCUACUUUGAUCAAAAAGGUAUCAACAUUCAACAAUGACCAAUCAAUAUUGUUAGAUUUAUACGUACUCCUAGAUUUGUACUCGAGAUGGUUUCCAAUUUGACUAUUGACACGAUUAAUAGUACAUGAGAUGUAUAAUGUGAAAAUUAUAUCAUUGGAAACUCCUUUCACAUACAAAUUUGACUGUAUGCUUUGUGUAAGUUGCAUGUCAUAUAUUAUUACUCUAAUAUUUGGUCAAAGUUAGCCUCGAAAAACGCAUUAGACCCUGUAUGCUUUGUGUAAGUUGCAUGUCAUAUAUUAUUACUCUAACAUUUGUGUAAGUUGCAUGUCGUAUAUUAUUACUCUAACAUUUGGUCAAAGUAGUAUAGUGGAAGUGGAUCCUCUGACGUAGGUAUCCCUGCCUUACCCUCCCCUUCGGUCACUUACUGGCGGACCCCAUGCUUGCUAGGCCCCGCAUGUCAGUUACUCAAUGGGUUCGGCCACGUCAGGGGAUCCUCAUCCGUAGUAUACUCCCUCUGUUUUUAUUUACUCCACAUAAAACGGAGGGAGUGGUGGUAUAAUAAAUGACGCGGGCGGGGGAGGGGGAGGGACGUCGGUUUGCUCUCAACUGCGGUCCCACAAGCGAGCGAAAACGCAAGACGAAGUGUGUCCCAUUUGGUGAGCGACGUGGAGGGUCCAGCGUGCCGGCCUGCAACGCGAAUGCGACAAGAGCGAUGUACAGUCAAAACCGAUUGACCGGUCGUCACCGGAACCACUAUUCACACCAGAACCUUCACUGCUCGGCCUACGCCAGCCACUGCCCUACACCACACCAAAUCUCCAGCCCAUUCCCCCACCUUUCGAUCCCCUAGACCGCAUCAAGCGUCCCCUAGUUCGCCGGAAAGCCAUGGUGCGCCGCAAGAUCACUUACUACAUGAUGCUGAUGCCGGAGCGCCGCGCAGAAAUCGCGGCGGCGGUCGGCGCCACAGACCUCCGUUCCCAAGCUCGCUUUGCGGCGGGCCAAUCCCUGAGUUCUUUGGAGCCAAGCUACGAGGAGGAGGAAGCCGAUCCAAUGUUCAUGGCGGAGGUCACGGCGUAGAAGGCCCCCGAUGGGUAUGAGACGAUGGACGUCGACUUUGUGCCGGCAUCCAAGUCCCCCAUGGUGCAGGCGGACCAGCGGUUCAACAUGGCGAUACUAAAGGAGGACCGCGAGGCAGAGGCUCAACUCGACGCGGAGCGCGUGCAUGCCGCUGCCAUCGAGGAUCUCCUGCAGGCGGAACCGGAUGUCGUGGAUGUGAACCGGGCGGCGGAGGCUCAACUUGAGGCGGAGCACGCGGAUGCCGCUGCCAUCGAGGCCCUCCUGCAGGCGGAACCGGACGUCCUGGACUUGAACCGGGCGGUAGAGGCUCGACUCGACGCAGAGUGCGCGGAUGCCGCUCUCAUCGACGCCCUCCUGCAGGGGGAACCGGACGUCCUGGACUUGAACCAGGCGGCGGAGGCUCGACUCGACGCGGAGCACGCGGAUGCCGCUGCCAUCGAGGCCCUCCUGCAGGUGGAACCGGACGUCCUCGACUUGAACUGGGCUGUGCUCUUGUCCGUGCAGAGCGCCCGCACGCUCCGCUUGAACGAGUAGCUGGAGGCCGAGGACAACCACGGUGCGGAGACACACGCCGGCAGCGACGGCUGGUUCGCACCGGCAGCCAAAGACGACGAGGUCGUCUCUUUCCGCGAGCAGUGAUAGUUUUUCUUUAUGUUGUUGUUUUUAUGGAUCUUUUGCUGUGUAAAAACAUAUAUUUGUUAUGCAAGUCGCCUAACUUGGAUCAGUCUACCAUUUCAGGCGGUUGGAUGAAUAUCCUAUGUCUCCUAACCCUUCUUUCCUUCUUCCUCACCUCUUCUUCUUCCCCAACAGACCACCGCACGGGUCGUACAGAUACUCCCCAACAUGUGGUUGGAUAAACAUACUCUAUGAACGAAAAUUAUGUGUCAGCGAUAGGAUGGCUGAGUUUGGUUUGUUCACAUGCGACAGCACGAGUCAGUGAGGGUGCGUUCCCUUGGUUGGGUUUGCGGCAUGCAGGAGCGACUGUGUGAGGGUGCGGUGCGACCGCGGCGUGCAGGAGCGACCUUGUGAGGGUGCGGUGCGACCGCGACAGCCGUGCGCAAGUGUACCUCCUUCUAAUUUUGAAAACUUUAGGCAAGCUUGGCAAAAAUGUGUGGCAAAGUUUGGCAAUGCAAGGCCUAGACCCAAACAGGAUAAGUACGUACGUACUAGGAGUACUAGUGUUAAAAAAGAAAGGCGGGGUUUUCCUUCGCGGGGUUUAAUCGAUACAAAUCCUCGUUUCAAGUGUCAAUUAAUGCGUAUUUUUUUCUCCAAAGACCAAAGAGCUAACCAUCUCACUCCUCAUCGCUUGAUUAAUGCAGCGCCAUGCAAACCAACCUUCUCACUUCCGCAUGCAUGCAGGGGAUAUUAAUGUCCUUGGUUGCUAACCCCAUCAAUUUUGCCUCGAUUAGUGUUAGCGGCCCUUUGCAAAUUGUAAUUUUGAUAUACUAGCCUUGUGUACAAAAAAAUGGAGGUAGUAACUAUAUUUGACUUCCUUCCCCAUUGCGGUGACGUCGACGAUAUCUUUUUUUUGGUGGUUUGGCGAAGUGCGUUCGACGGAGAACACCAUUGAGGGAGACCAUGGUAAGUCGUUCGCAAGUGCCGCCUGCAAGCCAAGACAACCACCUUAUUUGCAUCCAGGAAGUCCUUUACUAGUACUACUAGGAGUACUAGUGCGGUGAGAUGGUUUCUCGAAGAAGACGAUGGAGAAGCGGAGUCAGCGAAGAGUGAAAUGAUGGUUGCUUCGUCCGUGCUUUUGUGAUUUGACGCCUCACUGCUUUGUGAUUUGUGAUAGAAGGGACAGGGGUGUAGACUCUGUGCUCUAUACUGUACUACAUGCGUCCAAGCAUGGGAGAAAGAGGAGAGAUGUUGCAUUUUUCUAUUCCUUCAAUAAAUCAAUCAGGGAGCUUCGGUUCCAUCUUUUUGGCUUUGGAAACACCGUCCACAAUGGUUCCCACGAUGCCAAAAGCUAUUUUCACAUUUGGCUACACAUUGCGGAUGCCCUUAACCGUACCACUUGGUUUUGCUCCUGUGUGCUAUCUAUACAAAUCUCAAUUAUAUUGAUCUAAAAAAUAAUAGAAUCAAGAUUAGUAAAAAGGAGGUGAUUUUGCCGCGCGGAUGGCGGGGGAGGUUUGUUAUUUGAGCAAUGCUACAUCCACGUAAUGGUUUAAAGUUACGAACUGAUGUGAUGUGGGACUAUUUGAUUGGAUUAAAGGAGAGGAUUAGGCCCACCCCACCUGAUGUAGGGUAGAACCCUAGUGGCCCGAUCUUUCAUGAAAGGAGCGGAAUCCCACGAAGAACACGGAGGGGAAAACAAGAGAAAACACUCAAACCAACUUGAAUAGGUCACACAUGUGCUAGAUCCUCGGAUACAUAGAACGAUACACGGUCCACGGACAACUAAGGACGAUACAUGGUAACCGGUCUUCUCCGUGAGGAGGUCUUGAAGUUCUUCUCCAAAAGGAGGUCUUGAAUCCAUGGGGGGAUCUUCUCCGCUAGGAGGUCUUGAAUCCAAAGGGAUCUUCUCGGAAGAGGUCGCGGUCUCUCACGAGGAGUAGAUCCGAUGUGGAUGAGCAAUGCUCUAUCUCUAAAUAUGAGCUAAACCAAUGCUAACCCUAGAAAGUUGGACGAGGUGGAGUAUAUAUAGUCUAGGGGGAGAAGGGAUACACGGGCCUCGGCCCUUCACUGUGCGCAGACAGGGGAGGCCGGAUGUUCGGGCUGGUCGGUCCGGAUGUCCGGGCUUUCAGGCGAUGUCGGAUGUCCAGGCUGGGGAGGCCGGAGGUCCGGGCUGGAGUGGUGGCACUUGUUGCUCUCGGGUUUGGAGGGGCCGGAUUUCUGGGCUGGGAGCCGAAUGUCCGGGGGCUCGGGAACGCCCGGAUGUCCGGGCUGGCGAGGCCAAAUGUCCGGAGCCUGGGAGCUGUUCUCCGUCUUCUUCCGUCGUCGCUUCCAUGCUUCCCUCGCGGAUGGUGUAGUUGUUCCUUGGCGCUUGCACUCUUCCUCGUCGUCCAUAGUGUUCCGACAAUACCUAUGCAUGCACACGAGAGGGGUGUCAAGUAGUAUACCAUCCUCGAAGGGGUCAAGUGAGCACGUGUAAAGGAGAUGAUUCACCUUUGGGUAUGUCAAGUAGAUGUCGCACGUGUCACUCGCCAAAUGGACUCUUGACAUGGUGAUGUCCAUAGGAUGCUCCGCAUCACCACCUGAAAAUCAGGGGGGCAUAUAUAGAUUAGAUGGAAAGUAUACGUAGCAGUUACGUAGCCCUUUGUAAGUCUAGGAUUAGGCUUCUUAUUUUCGGAGGACGUUGUCCUGGCGGUUUGCUAACAUGCGGUCCCACGUGUCAGUGCUUUACCAAGCCGAUCCGCGUCCCACAUGAGGUAGAACAACGGUAGAAGCAACACGUGGUUAAGUUGAAGAAGAUGAGGGAGAAGCGCAUUCAGCAAAGAGUGAAAUGAUGGUUGCUUCGUCCCUCCAACUUAACUGAGGGAAAGGUGCAGCUUUGUGAUUUGACGCCUCAUUGCUCAUUACUAUGUCGGCGCCAUGACUGGGGUGCUUCACCCCGGCUGCUCUGCACUGUAUUCCGGUAUGGCACGUGGACCCGGUAGCUCGAUGUCCCACAUGUCGGCGAAAGGGACUAGAAGAUUUAUGAAAGCGAGUGCUCCACUCUUAGGACGGAGGAGUAGACGACACGACGGCCCAGUGAACUGUCACUUGUACUGUAUAGUACUAUAGUUUUGCUGUUUCGCACGAUCCAUCGAUACAAACCCGAUUAAACAGGAAAGGGCGGCAUUUUUCCCGCGUGGUAGAUGAUACUGGCCAUACAUUUCAAAGGCAAUUUUAAUGUAUGCAAACUGAAUAAUUAUAAGUAACAAUAUGAUAUCUAGUAAAACUAAAAACACAUAUGAUUUAUUGUGUUAGAGUGUAGUAGUACUGUUGUAUUGCAUAGUUGUUGGAUGUAACAUGCAAGAACGUGUAGAGAUGUAGUUUUGGAGGGUCUACAGAGAGAAAAGCGUAAUACGGUCACCGAACUUCAGAAUAAGCUGAUUACGGUCACUAUAUAUGUUUUGCGGUGAUUAUACGGUCACUUGCUCAUAGUUCAGCAUCGGAUUGCACUCUGUUGACUGGCCAAAUAGUCUACAUGGCGCCAUGUUGACUAGUUAAAUUGACCAUGUUCCUUGUGGGUCCCACCUGUCAAUUCACAUAGGCAAAAGGUCAGAUAAACACAAAUUUACGCAGGUGUGACAAGGCUCCAACCCGUGCACGGGAAUCACCUGGCUGUGUAUGUGUCUGUCAGGGCCUGAUGUGUGCGCAUGCAUGUGUAGGUUGAGCACUUGAGCGUGAGAGUGUGUGUUGGUCGUGUGGUGUACUGGUGUGUGCAUGCAUGCGUGCGUGUGUGCGUGUGAGUGUUGCGUGCGUGCAUGGCUGCGUGUGUACAUCUGAGUGUUGCCUGUGUGCGUGGGUGCCUGUGUUUGUGUGAGUGUUGCGUGGAUGCAGUUCGUGUGCAUGCGUGCGUGUGUAUAUAAUCACCACACCAGCUCCUGUGUGUUAAAACAGACGGCUCAGCAUACCAAUACAAGGCCACCUUGUCUGCUGUGCCCGCGGUCAUGACUUCGAACCACCGUCCAAAUAUAUUUUUGUCGUUUGUUUUCAUUCUUACUAGCAAGAUGCUCGUGCGUUGCACGUAACAUCAAGAUGCAUUUGUAUGACUUGUUUAUCUUGUGAGAGAAAAGGAUGAACGAGGGAAGGCCUUAUUUGCAAAUGUGGAGAGGUGUGUGGGUACCUUUUUGCAAAAUUGCCAUAGUUUCUUUCCUAUCCGUCAGAUAUAAAUCGGACGGCCUAUAUUGCAGGAUGGCAGGCACACCAUCAUCACCAACUCUGUUUUUUAUAAGAGUGUAUUGUAUGUAUUUUAUAAGAGUAUAGAUCCAGAGUAGAUACAAGUCGACAGGUGGGAACGAUGGUAGUGAGAUAAUGUGAUGCAACACUAGAGGUGCCACGUGGAGCGUUUAACUGGUCAACUAGUCAUGUCAUGAGCAAAUACAGAGUUGUACGGUGAGCCCGUGACUGUAUAAUAACCACUAAACGUAAAUGGUGACCGUAAUGAGUGGAUUCUGAAGUCCAAUGUACGUAUCGUGCUUUCGCUUCAAAUACAAUGAUCGCGAUUGCAUAUAUCGCGAGAGAAAGAUGAAACAUGCAUGAAUUUUCUGGGGGCUUACUUUUAGAGGACCUGGAGAUAGUUUUGUGUGCAUGCGUGAAAGGGGCGUACAGGGGGUAUGCGAUGGAGAGAGAGAUGGUCUUCAUUUCUCUUUAUUAUGACUAACUUUGUAUAUAGUAUAAAAAUAUACAAAUUCACAGUGCGGAAUAAAUAUCAUUGUGGGCACCAUGCAAUGCAAAUUAGCGUUCGUACUACUCCAUAUAACUUUGUAAUGUUGUAUAUAUGUAGAAACUCUAAAAUAAUUUUUUGGCCACACUUUAUUCAAAAGGAAUGUUGUAUGCGAAAUAAACGUGAAGAGAGGGCUUUUUCAAUGGAGUACGUGAUGUAACAUGCGUGAAUGUGUAGUUGAUGCAUUUGGCGGGGCCUAGAGAGGUAUGUGUGUGUAUUACGUAUUCGAGAGAGGCAUGUAUAGAGGGGCCAACGGGGGGGCGUGGGAGAGAUAGCACGAGAAAUGAGAGUGGUCUAGAGAGAGAGACGAAUAUGACGUCACGACAAGAGAUCCCAUUCCCUUGAGUGUGUAUAUGCAAGGGGGAGGGAAUAGAGGCACCAGGAGGAAUUUUCUGUGUGUGUGGUGUUUGUGUUGGUAUGUGUGGGUGUGAGAAGAUAAUGAGACGUGGGGGCAGAGGGUGUGUCACCGCGUGAGGUCCGGUGGGUCGAGGUGAGGCCCUUCGUUCGGUUCCGUCCUGCGCCACAUUGGUCGGCCCGUGACGCAUUUAGGAAGACCCAUGGAUGACUAGUCGUACAAGACAAAGAUAGCAGAAUUGUGAAGGACUCUGUGUCCACUGACAAAGCCGGCUAGGAUUUGUAACCCUAGGUUCUCGGACUAAGGUAACCCCUUUAUCUCUAAUAUUACUAUUCAUCCAACCUAACUUUAAGGGGCAUCCUACAGAAUGCUCUACUAGAAUCAUACUCGUCGAUUAGGAAGAGAGGUGUGAGACAAUGCGUGAGAGAAAGGCGUAAAGAUAAUGUGCGUACAUGAGACACGUAGGCAGGUCCAUGUAUAUAGAAAGGGUCGAUGAGGAUUGUGCGUGUGUAUGUUUGCGAGAGGAAGAGUGCUUGUGAUAAAGGUUAGUGAAAACAGUUGUAAACGGUUAUGAGAGGGAGGGAGGGUUAUAUCUAGAGCAUGUGUGCGAGAAAGACACCUCGGGAGAGAGUGUGUGAGCAUGUGUGAGAGACCACCGAUGGAGAGUGAAACUACACGUAAAAGACUGCUCUACACAUUGAUUAAAGAUAUAAAUUGUAUCCAAAUAUUAGGAUGGGAUCAUGAUAUUUGCAAUUCGCGUAAGGAGCGGUCAUUGAUCCAUCAGACAUCUAGAUUCUAUCGAAUUUGAGCAUGUCUAUGUUAUUAUUCAACACAAUUGAUCCACAUAGUUAGUAUUUUGAACUCCAGACAAUGCAUCACUUUAGCAAUCGAAUAUAAACGUCAGUAUAGUUCAUGUUGUGUGUAAAGCACAUUAUACAUACGAAAGUUACACAAUGGACAUUAUAAAUAGCUACCUAUGAACUAGCAUACAUUUGAAUUCAACUUAAGGUGGUUUAAAAAAAUCGAAUUCAACAUGAAGUCCAUUCAAUUAUUUGAAUUUGAUAUCAUGGCAUUUGUAAACCAUACCUAAACUAUGGGGGCACCAAUCUUUGCUCUGAUUUUGUACAUAAUAGCAUAUGUAGUCAUGUAGAAAAUAGAUUCAAAUUUAGCUCCUCCAUUCCAAAAUAAUCGUAGUUAUAGGAUUUUCAAGUGUCAAAAUUUCAAAAAGAAGCGGAUAAUUUAAUGAGGUUUUCAAACAUACAAGGUCAAAUAUAACGUUGUCUAUUUAGGUCAAUCCUCAUAGUUCAAGAGUACUCUAAACGUGAAUGCUUGUGUUUCAAAAUUUCAAACGAAGCGCCAAAAGAGCCUCUACUCGCCCGAAACCGCAUGAGACCAACGUUUGGUAGUACAAGGAAAUUACUUUUCUAAUAACUCUGACCCGUGAAACCUACCGGCCUGACGUCCAAAGGUCUAAACCGGGGUAGGUUUGUAGCUUCAUCUAGACGCCACGCAACCGCAUCCGAAAAACAUUCAUACACAAUGGUCGCCUAAGCACACAUGCGCGCGGCCGAAAUCGCUCCCGCCCACUAUUUGGGAUGCCUGGGAUUACCAUCCUACCCCCGACCCGUAGUAGGUCCGAAAUUUAAGAGGGGGGCAAAGUUUGUACUUUCCCCAAAUUUCAAACAAGCGCGUCCCAUCUUCUGUUCAAAAAAGCCAAAAACAAGUGCAUCCCAGACUGAAACAUGGUUCCCCCCACCCGUCCGAUUCCACAUUCGUACUCCGUAGGCGCCAAAACUACCUCUCCACCAGCCGCGAAACCCCGGCGUCCUCUGUCCGCCACCCCAUCCCACCCAUCAACUGCCGCCCUCCUCCAUCACGCCGGAGCCGAUACCCCGACAUCGUCGUCCACCGCAACCUCAACCGCAACGCCCUCCACGAUUAGUAGCUGAAGCCGAGGCCGAGCCGUCCGUACCCAAGCCAGUUCAACCACGCCGUCCUGCGCCUCACCGCUGCCGCUCCAACUUCGCCACCCUCCACCGCACAGGAGCUGUUCCUGCUACGUCGUCCUUCGUCGCCUCGGAUCUGCUUCCCCUCCACCGACAUACGGCCACGGCAACACAGUCAACAAUUUGGCCAUGGGUUCGUCCAAGCCUGCACCCUCCAGAACAUUGGUUUCCCCGGUAAAAAGAAGAAGAUCGGCGCGACAUGUGGAGGUGACCACGCCAGCAACCGAAAAAGGUACUCCUCUUCCCUUAUUCGUGCAAAUCUUACGUCUCUGCUUGCACGGUAUUCAUCCCACAGAAGACACUAGUUGACCGCUUCUUCUUGAUACUAGAUGUUCCUAGUAACUCGCGAUGCACAAGUUUUCUCCUCAUAUACUAUUUCACCUUAGCUAGAGGUUCGUCGCCCCCCUGAAUUUCAAUUUCUGGCCAGUUGAUUCCCAAUUAACGGAAGCAUUCCCCGGUGUAACAUGCGCUAGUACGCCUAUUACGCCGGGGAAGCAGCGCCAUGGUGUUUAUCUUAGGGGCGUGUGCGGCCUAGAGCUACUGGCACCCGGUCUGGAGGUCGGACGGGAUUAAAGGGAUGGCCUGGGGGCGCUGCCAAGCACGGCGGUGGUGUGAGGUCGAUGGGAGGGCGGGGCGGCGGAGGCAGGGGUCUGGGCCGGUGGUCGCUGGCGGUUCGAGAAAGAUCGUCAACAGUGACUGGCGGGAGGUAGACGAAGGCCAUCUGCCCGUUCCUUAUAGAUCGGACGGUUCAUUAAAAAAAUUGACUGACCUAUUUAUUUUCAGUCGACUGUUAUCUUAGAUAUGACCACAUGUGGUGUUGUGCUGGAGGAGUACCUACAUUUCCUGUGCUCAUAUAUUACAAAAUCAUAUGGAGUAGAAUCUAAUUUUGUUUGCCAUGCAAUGUUGUAGAGCUAUCAUAUGUCUCUUGUCAUUUAUUUUCAGCCACCUGCUAUCUGCUACUUUUACAGUGCACUAGUUCUGCACACACUUCACCCUUACUCUCACUGUUAUGUUUUUAUGCAAGUGUAUUUCAGACUCUGCUGGCAUGAGAGAAGCCAAAAAGAAAAGAGAGAAGUCGCUCCAGCUUCGUAUGCGGGUAGGCAAGACACGUUACAGCGCUAUAAAGGGUGCAGUGUCAGCAGAUGGAGACAAUAAACAUAGCUCUGGAGUUGAUGACCUCGCUUGCAAUGAACCACCAUCCCAGGUGCUUGCUUUAACUUCGCGCUGUCAUAUGUGGUUGCAUGUUCCAUAUGGUGUCUAGCUUGUAUUCGAAAGGCUGAAGUCGGUAAGAUAAGGAAAGAUAUUUUUUUACAUGAACCACCAUCCCGUGAGCACCAGAAGACAAAUAGCUAGUCAGGGCACUGGCCGAGCCAGUGACAAGCCCAGCAAAGAUAGGCAUCACCUGGAAGCCAACUAAAAAGCUGCGAUGGUGGCGAAGCAGCCCACCUCCCACCAGGCUCUCAAGUCCUAGAUGAUCAUGCUCACCACUCCAGCCGGAUGUCUAGCUUGUAUUGCUUCCAAUUUGGUUAAAUUGCAUCUGCUUAGCUUACACAUUAUACCUUUGAAUAUGACAUGUCUUUCUGUUUUUGGUACAUACUAGUACAUCUGUGUAUUAACCAUGUUUUUACAUCAAACUAAUGUUCUUGUGUAUCCCUCAUCAAUCACUUAUGAUGAGGCAGGCAGGCAAGGGGACUACUCCUCAUUUAAAGAAUGCAGCAUCGGCCUCCCGACAUGAUUCUCAAGAAACGGAAAUACUAGAUGAAGAUAGUGAACGUAGCUCUGUAGUUGAUUACAGCAUUUCCCCUACACUAGCAUCGCAGGUGCUUUCUCUAACUUGGCAGCGUGAUAUGUGGUUGCAUGUUGCAUAUGGUGUCUAGAUUGUAAUUCUUCCAAUCUGGUUAAACUGCAUGUGCUAGUCUGCUUAGCUUAUACAUUAUACCUGUUAAUGCAACAUGCCUUCCUGUAUUUAGUACAUAGUACAUCUCUCUAUUAAGCAUGUCCUUACAUAAAACUAUUGUUUUUUUGUAUCCCGCAUCAAUCAACAUGACGAGACACCUUUAGUAUAUGCAGUGCGAUAUUAGUUGCAUCUUUCAUAUGAUUUAUAGCAUGCGCUGCUUCUAAUUUGUUGAAAUUCCAUUUAUGAUGGGACGCUUUUAACUUGGCAGAGUCAUAUUGGUUGCAUCUUUCAUGUGGUGUCUAGCUUGCAUUGCUUCUUAUUUGCUGGAAUGGUUUCUGCUUAGUUUACACAAACAGUUGUGAACAUGCCAUGCUGUCCUGUUUUUCGUACAUAUUCCAUCCUGGUAUCAUGUGUUUGCCUUACAUCAAAGUAGUGGUUGUCAGUAUCAUGCAUGAAUGAGUUCUGAAGAGAGAAUUUUAUUGCUUUUUCUUGUCGGUUUUACUUGACAAUUCAAAAUCAAUAAAGCGGAAGGAAGUUAGCAAGGCAGCGGAUAAAGGUGCUCCUUCCGAACGGAGGGCCUCUACAGUUUCUACUCCUCCACACCCCCAAGAUGAUUUCCAAGACAACACAUGCAUAGACACUCAACAAAGUUGUGUUUAUGAUGAGCAUGUCUCCCCUAGUGCAGCAUCACCGGUGCUCCCUCUAACUUGGCACUGUUAUAUGUGGUUGCAUGUUAUGUGUGAUGUCUAGCUUGUAUUGCUUCUAAUUUUGUUGAAUUCCAUCUGCUUACUUUACACAUUAUACUUGAAUAAGACACGUGUUCCUGUUUCUAGAACAUACAAUAUUUGUCUAUCACACCAUGUUCUUACAUCAAAUUACUACUGUUGUGUAACCUGCAACAAUCACUUAUCAUAAGACACGUUUGACUUCGGAGUGUGAUAUAGGUUACAUCUCACAUUCUUUUCUAGCUUGUACUACUAAUUUUUUGAAAUGGCACUUAUGACGAGACAAUUUUAACUUGGUAGAGUGAUAUUUGUUGCAUCUUUCAUAUGGUGUCUAGCUUUCAUUGCUUCUAAUUUGUUGAAAUGCCUUCUCCUUAGUUUACACAUCAUAAGCUGUGAAUAUGCAAUGUUGUGAAUAUGCAAUGGCACUAAUGACGAGAGACCUCUAACAUGGUAGUGUGAUGUUGUUUGCAUCUUGCAUAUGAUUUAUUUCUUGUACUGCUUCACAUUUGUUUAAACGCCAUUUAUGAUGAGACACUGUUAACUUGGCAGAGCGAUAUUUGUAGCAUCUUUCAUAUGGUGUCUACCUUCCAUUGCAUUGCUUCUAAUUUGGUGAAAUGUCUUCUUCUUAGUUUACACAUCAUAGUUCUGGUUAUCUCUUCCGUCCUGUUUUUCAUACACAUUACAUCCUCCUAUCAUGUGGUUGUCUAACAUCAAAGUUUAGUUCGUCUGCAUCACGCAUCAAUUUGUUCUGAAGAACUAAAUUGUUAUUCAUUUUUCUUGUCGGCUUGACUUAACAUGGCACACAGAAAGAGGAAGAAACACGGAAUGGCAGGGAAUGAGAAGUGGAUGAAUCCUGCAGAUUCUGUUGGUACUGAUGGUGCAAUAGAAGGUCAAAGUCCAGCGGAAAAUUCUACAAACACGGCAUCCCAUGCUACACGAGUUGCAAAAAAAGCCAAACAGAAACAAAUAGCUACCACCAAACAAGUAGAGACAGCCCUAGUUCUUGCAACACCUACCAUAGUACUACCAGCUGCACGACUUACUCGUGCGUCAACUGAGCUAGCAGCACGUUCCCAAGCUCCCUUGCCACCUGACACUACUUCCCAAGCACUCUUGACACAAGACGAGUUGGCAAUAUCAGAUGAACCUUGUGAGCUUCAACAACAAGAAGGUAGUUGCUGGAGUCAAGUGACAGUUGCAUGCUUCUUUAUAUGUAGUCUCACAGUUUGAUGUACACUAACACUUCCUAUGUUCGUUGUUGAACUAGCACCUAGGCGCAAGAGGAAACAAACAUCAGGGAUAAUACUCGAUAGGUUAACUAAAUCUAGAGGAGGAAGAAUGGAGAUCCGUUUUGAGGCAGGUUUAAAAAGGCCACGUGAUGCUACAGAGUUAGCCAAGUUAGUAUCAGAGGCAGCGGUUGCCAUUAGGUGUCAUGUACGUAUCCUCCCAACAUGGAUUCAGUACAGGAAUGACAAAGACGAAACCCAGUUCAACACCUUCCUCGACCAUUUAUCUGUAAGUAUGGUUAUGUAUGGAAACUAGUAAUAUCGUCUUGCUCUGUCCCAUAAUUUUAGGUUGCUGAUAAUGAGACUCUCAUAAUUUUCAACAGAUGAGGUUCAAGUUGGAUGGCCAAGAUGAUGCAACCAGACAAGCUUGCACCCAUGUUUUCAAGUCUGCUCUGCGACAGUAUCGGUAUAACUUGAGGAAAACUCACUUUGAAGGCAAGGCUAACAGUGAACUUUCCCAAACAUCUCUAGUGGAAAAUAUAUCGGAUGAAGACUGGAGGGGCCUUGUUAAACACUGGUCUGAUCUGAAGUAUCAGGUACAUUAUAUAUAUGUGAUCAGAUCACAUGUUGAAGUCCUAUUUAUGCAUGUGCCACACAAAUCUAUCUUCUUGUAGGUGAACUGUUCAAAGAACAAGGCCAACCGUACGAAAGUGAAAUUCCAACAGACGACAGGAUCUCGUAGUUAUAUUGCACACUGUGAGGCUCUUGUAAUUAGCUGAUGUUUCACUCUUUUCGCUGUACCAUAUUAUCAGAUCUAUAUUGACUUGUUCAAAAUGCAGAGGAAAGCCCGCAAGGACCAAAAAGUACCUGAACCAAAUGUUGUGGAAAUCUUCAAGGACUGUCACACCAGCAAGAAGAAGGGCAUGACUACACCAGUAAAAGUCGCUGGUGUAAGUCCUUAAUCCUCAUGCCUUUUAACUACUACUUACUCUGACUUGUGCCUUGAACUGCAUGGUUUGCAGCCAAUGUCUAUUACUCUUUUAAAUUUUAUACACAAUUAUCUUAGUGUAUCAUUGCACCUUACAAGGUUUAAAAGAGAGGAGUGAUGUUCCUUUGAUCUUGACCCGUGAUCUAGUCCCGUGCUGGACUUGCCCACACAACAUUACAAUUGCCUGUUUGUCUGUUCUCAGUUGUUUUGUGAUAUGAAUGAUGUCAUACUAUGCUUACCGUAUUAUAAACUUCGUCUCUUUAUCCUUAGCCCUCAAUACAAUGUGAAGAAGUAGACAAUACAUUAGCGAUGGUACAUGGUCAUAUGUUUGGAACCUGGUUUUAUUAUGUACUUUGCAAUAAAAUACAACUAAUAUUUUACAUGGGUUCACCAGAAUAAGUUCUGUAUAUAGACCAAAGCUAUUUUGUAUGGUUUUGCUGCCUCCUUAAUAUCUUCUGUUCUGGUACUACUAAUGUAAAACCUCAACUUUUCAGCAAGCUAUGAAAAAAAUGGCGAGGCAACUAUAACCGCAAUGUCAGCUCUUGCUGCAAUGGGUCAGUACCUGUCCACUAACAAUGCCAAAAGCACGUUCCUGCGUAAUACUGGGUUGGUUGUUAAGGCAAUAUCGUCCAAACUGCAUCAUGAUCAAGAUAUGCAAGCUUAAAGCAAAUGGUGUAUCUGUGCUCCAGACACAAUUCCAUUCCCUAACAGAGACCCUUUGUGAAACAAGGAGAAACAUUGCUCAACGUCGUCAAGAUAUGCAUGGUUUUGAAACCUGACUAUCAGACAUUUGCUAUGUUGUUCAGAAGCCUAGGGGACAUGAAGGCGAGGGUUAUGGUGCUCCAUCAGACAAUACAGCAUGAAAACGUAACAGUCGGGUCAAAUGAACUGAGCUUCUGAACUUCUGGUGGUGCAUUUAUCUGCUAGACUGUUAAGUUUUAUGUCAACCUUCCUUUUGUUAUAUAGUUGUAAUUUGUUUUGGUGCGAUACAAAAUUUAUUCUUAACGUGCAGCCACCAGCUGAAGAAAACAGCAAGCCAUUUUUGUAUAGUGUAGGGUGCUCUCUAUAUUUGCACUGGUGGCGAUCUUUGAUGUCGAGUGGAUGUAGUCUGCGCAAUCGCCUUAAUAGCCUAGCGUUAGUUUCGGCCUUAUUUAUUUCCUAGUCUUCUUUUUCCCUGGUUUGCUAGUGGCCGCAACUACCAUGGGCCAUAUACGGGCCGUAGGAUCCAUGGGUCUCCUACGGGCCGUCGAUAAAUGGGCAUGUAAUCGGUGGGCCUCGGGCCGUCGGAUAAAUGGGUCUACAUGGGCCGUAAUCAGGCGUAAUUGGUAUCGGCCCAGCAUGGUAACAGGCCGUUAACAGGCCGUAUGACAACAAAGGCUUAAUUCUGUCACAGGCAUAAUGGGUCGUUAAUGGGCCAGAAUAUAGGACGGGCUGGAAACGGCGCAACGGGUUAACAGGCCAAAAACGGACCGACUCUUGCCAUGGGCCGAAUUUGGCCCAUUAGGGUAACAGGCCAGUAACGAGCCGACUCUUGCCAUGGGCCGAAUUUGGCCCAUUAAGGGAACAGGCCAGUAACGGGCCGACUCUUGCCAUGGGCCGAAUUUGGCCCAUUAGGGGAACAGGCCAGUAACGGGCCGGAAGUAAUCGAGGGCCGAAAAGGAGCCCAAGAACGUAUGGGCCGUCAAUAGGCCUAAAGCUAACACAGGCUGGAAAUGGCCCAUGUAAAUCACGGGCCGUAAACGGGUAUAAAGAAAAUUACUGUUCAUUAUGGGCUAGAGUCACCGUGGGCCUGUAAAAGGCCGAAAGAUACGAAGGCCUCAUAUGGGCCAAAGGACGUCGUGGGCCAUACAUGGGCCGAAAGUGAAAUGGGCUGGUGUUAUAUUCGACGGCCCACAUGACAUUGUUGGGCCGAUUUCCUUUAGGGCCUAAUGGGUCGUGACUUAACGGGCCGUAAAAUGGGCUAUUUGCAAAGAGACCGUUAACAGGCUUUUCAUGGGCCAGCCCGUUAACUUUUGACCAAGUCAAACGGCUGGCUUUGUAAGCUAAAUGGGCCAGUGGUGGGUCGUGGCACGUGUAGACAUAUCAUAGGCGCCUAUCUGACCCACUGACGAGCUGACACGUGUUGCGUCCGGCCAAUAAGAAUUUUACACGUGGAAAUUUCCCAUUGGUCGGGGCUGUUAACGGGUUAUCAGAUCCAAAACCCGACCCGAUAGCUUAACGGUGUUCCGUUACGGUGGAUGCCACGUGUCGGUCACCCUUGACGAAAGCACUUCUGUGAUACGCGAUUUAUCGUCAUGGAAGUGGACACUUCCGUGAUGAUAAUUUUGGUAAUGUCAUGGAACACUUCUACGACAGCACAGGUAUGACUCUCUUGAUUCUGUCAUAAAAUCGUCAUGGAUGUACAUGCAUGAAAAAAAAUGCAACCUACAGUGACAAACACGUAUCAUCAUGGAAGUGUAUUUUUUGUAGUGGAUGAUACGGCGGUCAAUGCCGGAUUCAGUGGCUCUAAGUCCGGUCAGUGGAAGAAGCCGUUCAAAAAGAACAAUUCGGGCUCAUACAGCUUGGACCGCAUACUCGAUCGUCCGUGUCAGAUCCAUGGCACCCCAGACAAACUACCCAAUCAUACCAACAAAGAUUGUUGGGUUUUCAAACAAGCCGACAAGUUAAAUGCCGAAAGCAAGGAGAAGGGAUCGCAAAGCGAGGACGAUGACGAGGAGUCCGGACCACCGGACAUAGGGGGACAGAAGAAGUUUCCCCCUCAGGUCAAAAUGGUAAACAUGAUAUAUGCUACCCACAUCCCCAAGAGGGAGCGCAAGCGCGCGCUCAGGGACGUCUAUGCGAUAGAGCCAGUCACCCUAAAAUUUAAUCCAUGGUCGUCAUACCCGAUCACUUUCGAUCGUCGGGAUCAUCCGACCAGUAUCCGUCACGGUGGUUCAGACUCACUGGUCCUGGACCCAAUAAUUGAUGGGUUCCACCUGACAAGAGUCCUGAUGGACGGUGGCAGCAGCCUCAACCUGCUCUAUCAGGACAUAGUGCGCAAAAUGGGCAUUAAUCCAUCACGGAUCAAGCCCACAAAGACCACCUUUAAAGGAGGCAUACCAGGUGUAGAGGCCCGUUGUACGAUCUCAAUCACACUAGAGGUUAUCUUCGGAUCUCCGGACAACUUCCGAAGUGAGGAGUUAAUCUUCGAUAUCGUCCCCUUUCGCAGCGGCUAUCACGCACUGCUCGGACGAACCGCAUUUGCUCGAUUCAACGCGGUUCCACACUACGCUUAUCUCAAGCUCAAGAUUCCCAGACCAUGCGGUGUCAUAACGGUUAAUGGAAACAUGGAACACUCCCUCCGCACCGAGGAGCACACCGCGACCUUAGCAGCAAAAAUACAGAGCAGCCUUUCCAAGCAGAACCUUAAUUCGACGGUCGAGCUCCCGGACACUGUUAAGAGAGUCCAGACUAUUCUGCGGCAGGACAGCUCGGUUCGUCAAGAGCUUGACUAGCAAUUCGGCCUUCGUCCUAGUCCCGACCAAGUGGCGGCAAUUGUACCAUGCAUACAUAACUACGCACUCAAAAUACCAUGGGCACGGAUGGAGGCAUAACUAGCUUGUGAUCCACAAUACGGCUCGACCGCCCCUGGACACACAUACUUUCACGGUUUCCAUUUUUCCUCCUUUUUCAGGUUUCUUCUUCACAGGCCUUCCCUGACGGCUAGACCAUCGAUUCUUUUCAAAGGAUAAAUACACCAAGACGACAAGAAGCAUGGACGUACUGGGGAAUUUUUUAGGUGGUUUCUUUAACGAUCCCUUUACCUGUUUUCAGGACCCACACGCAGCUUUCCCUUGGUUAAGGCAUAUCAAAUAGCCUUCUGCUUAUUGCACUACUUGUAUAAAUGCGCUUUAACGCACCAAGGAAAUUAUAAUGGAAACAGUUUGCGGCCCAAAUUUUAUGGCUCUAGCUUACUACCUUUUCUUAUUUUUCUUUUUUUGAUAACUUUAUCAAAUAGCAUCUGUACACUUUGGUACAUUUCAAAUUGCCAGGGGCUUCAUCGCGCCCCACAACAUGGCAACAAAGUCCGAACACUUUUUACAGUAUAGUUCGGCACCCCGAAUUUAGCACUAUAUGCAUUGGCUCUCAAUCAUGUCUUUGGUCAAUAAUUGGGUUGCCCGGCUCCAGUGCUUGCUACCUUACGUUCCGCUAUAUCGGCUAGGGUAGUAAAGGGAGAACUACUGUGAUUGUGCCCUGGUUUACCCGGAUGAGCACCUCAGUAAAGAAAGCCGAAAACUGACUGUCAUGAUGUGGCGAGAGCCGGUCAGCUCUUUGGAGGUCUCAAAUCCUUAAAGAUUUUUUCUGCAUUACGCGAGGGAUCGGUAUUUACCCGAUCAGGUGUUUACAGCACCCUAGUCCGGAUACUAGGGGCUCCGCCUAUAUUUUUAUUGUCAAACUCCAACGGCUAAGUGAGGGUGCUAAAUCCGCAUAGUCCGAUUACCUGGUUCGUCGCGCUAAACACCUCCUUCAAGGACCAAACAAUUGGAUCAAAAGUGUUUAGAUUACAUCCCGAACACCCCCGUACUACCUACGUGGGGGCUGAAGCCGACGACUGGCCAACUCUCAGAUUUCACACAACACAACCGAACAAGAGGUGAAAUUUUUUUAACAAACAUUAUAUUACAUAAUGACUUUGUUUCAUCAUACAAGGCAAAGACAACAUGAAUGCAUUCAUUCGAAAAUAAUGUCUUGCACACAUUGCGUUGCCACAAUACGAGACCCCUCCAGGACGUCUUCAAAGUACCACUCGGGUGCGCGGUGCUCCUUGCCCUUUGGCAGUCCCCCGGUCGUCAGCUUGAUGGCGUCCAUCUUUGCCCACCACACCUUGACGCGGGCGAAGGCCAUGCGUGCGCCCUCGAUGCAGACCGACUGCUUGACAACGUCCAGCCGAGGGCAGGCAUUCACCAGCCGCUUCAUGAGCCUGAAGUAGCUGUCGGGCAUAGCUUCGGCAGGCCACAGCCGGAUUAUUAAAUCCUUCAUGGCCAGUUCGGCCACCCUAUGCAGCUCGACCGACUGUUUUAGCUGAUCAUUGAAGGGCACUGGAUGUUCUGGCGCAAGAUAUUGCGACCAGAACAGUUUCUCCGUAGUCUCCCUUCUUCGGCUCAGAAGAACUCCGCAGUGUCAGACACACUACGUGGUAGAUCCGCAAACGCCCCUAGAGAACUCCGAAUCCGGGUUAGUAAGAGAUAGUUCUUCUUCACAUAUUUGCUUUGCAUACUAAACGCCUUACCCGUCGUGAUUUUCUUGGCCUCCUAGAUCUCCUGGAGGGUGCCCCGGGCCUCAAUCCGGGCCUCUUCCGCGCUUUGACGGGCCAUAGCAAGUUCGGUCUCUCGAGCCGAAACGUCACGCUCCAAGGAUACGCAUUUCUUCACCGCAUCCUGGAGCUCUUGCUGGACCUCAUCCAGCCGGGCCUCGUGCUUCUCACAGGCGGCUUUUUCCUUGGCCGCUUUCUCCUUGGCCUGGGCCAGGGCCUGUCUAAGGACCUCGACCUCGAUCGCUACUCCUACACAUAUCAUGGCACUACGGUCAAUACGCAUUAUUUAUUCUUCCCGAAUAUACAGCCAGUCAGUACAUCCCUUGCUGGUCUUCUAGUUGCUUCCUCGCUUGGCCGAGCUCCUCCUCGGCCCGCUCCAGUCUCUACUUUAGUCCGGAGACUUCGGCAGUGUGUGAGGUCACGGCCAGCAAAGACGCCUGCUUAUUCAUAUAAGCCAUAUUUUAGUUAGUUUCCUGCGAAAAUAAAUUGAUCCUCUGUCCGGCUCUUCUUUCUAAACACUGGACAGUGUCUCACGGGCUAUUGUCUAUAUUGGGAUUUUCUCUUUUUUUUGCGUCGCUUACCUCAAAGCCUGUCAGGAGGCUACCGCAGGCUUCGGUCAGUCUGCUUUUGACGGACUGGACCUUCUCAAUCACCGUACCCAUAAGGAUAUGGUGUUCAUCCACAAUGGAAGUGCCUCGUAGCACUUCCAGCAGAUUAUCCGGUGCCUCUGGUUGGAUAGAGGUCAUCGGUGGAAUAGGCAUGCCCCCUUCUUUCGAAGGAGGUUGCUCGCCAAAUUCCGGAGCCAUAUAGGUCUCCUGACUUGUAUUCGGCUGGGCGCCGAAUUGAGCAAAGCCCUCGUCCCCGGUCGCCAUGGGGGUCUGCUCCCCCAUGUGUCCGGCAGCCGAGGUUUCGGCCUCUGGCGCCACCAGGCGGCCUCCUGAACCUCUCCUUGGCCUGGGAAGGUCCUUUGGGACAACACCUCGCCGUCACCCUUGGCCGUGGGAGAGUGACCGGCCGGCGGUGACUCGCUGGCCAUCACCUUCAAAUCCAGCGAACCUCUUGAUGAGGAUCGCUGGGAGCCGUCGUGGGCCGGACUAAAAUAACAUCAUUUAAACAUAUCAAUAUCAUGAAGCAAGAGAGGCCGGAUGUAGGGACGUGCGCGGAUUCUUAGUGCUUACGACGCAGCCAGGGGCUUGUUUCAGGGGUGUCGCUCCGGGCUACUGUCGACAUCGCAUGCGGUGUUAUCCACAAGGGGACCCUUCCCCCUCUUGAGCGCCUCUGCCUCCAGAUUGGUGGAGGCCGCCCACCCUCUUCUUCCUCCCCUCCCCCCCCCCCUCGUCAGGGGGAGAGGUGCUUUCCUCCUCCUCCUUAUCGUCUUCGGCAGCGAAGGAGUGAGUCUUGUCUUCAGAUGAUACGUCCGAAGCUCCCUUGCGGCGGGGGCCACUCCGGACCCCCUUGGCCUUAUUUUUGGCCUUCUUCUCCAGCACCUUAUAGGGCGCCGGUACCAGCAUCUUCGCUAGGAGCGGGAUGACUGGUUCCUCAGGCAGCGGAGCCGAACAUCGAAUCUGCUCCGCUCUCUUCGUCCAUACUUGAAAUAAUAAAGUUUAGAUAUCUUCCUUGAAACAAGCAAGUAGAGGAUGCGUCUAGAGACGUUAAAGGCUUACCUCGUUGGCAGAAUGGGUAAUGUCGUGCCCACGGUCCGAGUCUAUGGCUGGCGGUGUCUCGUUACCCUUAAAGAGCAACUUCCAUGCAUCUUUGUGAGUGGUUCCGAAGAGCCUUUCCAAGGUUUGGUGCUUCUUCGGGUCGAAUUCCCAUAAGGGGCAGCUUCGGCUUUGGCAUGGGAGAAUCCGGUGAACCAGCAUCACCUGGGUUACAUCGACGAGCUUGAUGUUUUUAUCCACCAUGCUUUGAAUGCGUGUUUGCAGCGCUAUCAGCUCGUCUGACAAAGAUCAAUUUGGGAUGUUCCCCAUCCAGGAGGUGAGCCGCACUAGAGCUCCGGACUUGAAUUCGGAAGCGACGACCCAAUUGGCGCUGCGGGGCUCUGUGAUAUAGAACCAUAGUUUCUGGCACUCCUUGACAUCUCCACAAAAGUGCCCUUGGGCCACGUGACAUUGGGCAGCUUCCUCACCAUGGCGCCUCCGCACUCCGCGUGCUGGCCAUCCACCACCUUCGGCUUCACGUUGAAAAUCUUGAGCCAUAGUCCGAAGUGGGGUUGGAUGCGGAGGAAGGCCUCGCACACGACAAUGAAUGCCGAGAUGUUAAGGAAGGAGUUCGGGGCUAGAUCAUGGAAGUCUAGCCCAUAAUAGAACAUAAGCCCGCGGACGAAAGGGUGGAGAGGAAACCCUAACCCGCAGACGAAAUGCGGGAUGAAGACCACCCUCUCGUUGGGCUUCGGGGUGGGGACGACUUGUCCCUUGGCUGGAAGCCGGUGGGCGAUUUCUUUCACCAGAUACCCGGCCUCCCGAAGCUUGGUGAUGUCCUUCUCCCUAACGGAGGAGGCCAUCCACUUGCCUUGCCCUCCAGAUCCGGACAUGGUUGAGUGCUUCCUAGGGGCGGAAAGAAUGAGGACUUGGGCGCUGGAGCUCGAGGAUGGAAGGGCAGAGGAAGAGAGAAGGCGUGGGUGAAGAAAGGGGAAUCCUUAUCUCCUUAUAAAGGCAGUGAAUAUCAAGCGCCUCCCCACUCGCCUUAAAACUCGCCUGUUCCCAAGGGCUGUGUAAACGGCACGGUUAUAUUACCCACGCCCGUAUUGAUGAGAAUCCCGCAAUAAGGGGACACGAUCUCUGCUUCGACAAGACGUGCCUAUUAAAACCACGUCUCGAAACAUGGAACAGCAGACGAAACACAGUUUGAAAUGAUGACCAAGCAGAUGUGAUGUCACAUUACAAAAAGUUGCCAGCGGAUUGGACUCGUGUAAUAUUAUAUUCUCUGCGGUUAUGUGUGGUACUUGUGUUGCAAAUCCGGACACGUUCAUUAUGACCGAAGACUAUCUUGGAGUAUUCAGAAAGGGGGACCCACCUUGCAAUGCUGAAGACAAUCUGCGCGCCGGACACCUCGUCAUUGAAGCCUGGUCCAGGGGCUACUAAGGGAGUCCUGGACUAAGGGGUCCUCGGGCGUCCGGCCUAUUAGACAUGGGCCGUACUGAUGGACUGUGAAGAUACGAAGAACGAAGACUCUACCUGUGUCCGGAUGGGACUCUUCUUGGCGUGGAAGGCAAGCUUGGCGUCCAAAUAUGAAGAUUCCUUUAUUUGUAACCGACCUUAUGCAACCCUAGAUUCCUCCGGUGUCUAUAUAAACCGGAGGGCUAGGUCCGUAGAUAUAUCCUCAUAAUCAUAGUCAGACAGGCUAGACUUUUAGGGUUUAGCCAUUGCGAUCUCGUGGUAGAUCAACUCUUGUAAUACUCAUAAUCAUCAAGAUCAAUCAAGCAGGAAGUAGGGUAUUACCUCCAUAGAGAGGGCCCGAACCUGGGUAAACAUUGUGUCCCUUGUCUCCUGUUACCAUCGACCUUAGACGCACAGUUCGGGACCCCCUACCCGAGAUCCGCCGGUUUUGACACCGACAAAGGGUAAAUGCAUUGGUUGAUUGUUUCAGUGUUAAUAACGGAUACAAUGGUGUCAGUUACAUGCAUAACAACUGACAUCGUAUUUUUGUUUCAUGGUAAUGCACGCCAUUCAACUGUAUGUUACAACGGGUCAAUGUCUCACGAGACAUCGGAUCCGUCUUCUGGGCUCAGGGCGAGUCACGGGCGCCGCAUGCCUCGUCCCCCUUGAAGGCGGAGGUAGAUUGACACGAACAAGGACGGAGGGGGUCAGGAGGGAGAGGGGGGCGGCUGGUGGGGGACUCCUCCUUGGCGGUCUGUGGGGAAGUAGGGUGUGAAGGAGAGAGGGUGCCAUUGCAAAGGUGAGGUGGGCGUCGUCCGAUUUUAAAGAAAAGGGAUACAACAAGAAAUGUUCAACUACAAUGAAAUACUAAGCGAGGAAGGGAAGGUCUAACCGAAGAGGAAGGGUGUGUUAUGGGGUGUGGUUUUUAUGUUGGGGUCGUAUGUUGGACAUAAUAUGACAGAUAGUCUGGACAGCCAUAUUUUUCCUCCACAUAUGAGCUGGAUUUGGGAGAGUUCGGAUCAUUUAGACAGUUGGAUUUUGGGAGCCAACCGGGACCCAUUUGAUGUCCGAACACGUCCAGACAUAUGAGGGAGAAAUGGCUUUCGACCUUAGAGAUGAUCUUAAUCAUUUGUUCGAUUAUAUGCAUUGCAGCCCGUGGGAACACACGGGCAUUCUACUAGUCUAGGUAGAAAUAAUCUUGCUCAAUAAUGGGAAGAUAUUCAUAAGCAAUACCUACACCAGUUUUCUUGUGGAAACAGAAUUGAGAACAAUGAGGUGUUGAAACAUAGAGCAAGUAUUGUAGCACAAGGGUUCACGCAGAUACCCAACUAUUCCCGAGAGGUGGAAUUUCUUUCCGAUAACUUAUAUCAUUGGCAGGACAAAAUCAUCUAUUUAUGCAGUUGAUAGAUGUAGUGAUUACAUAUUCAUGUGGAUCACUAGAUUCAUACAUAGAUGGUUCCCGUUGGAAUCUCACUUCUAAAUCGAAAUGCCAAAUGCAACAUACAUUGUGUAAAUUAGUAAGUCACUAUACGGCUUAUUAUUGUAGGUGUAUUUUGGUACAACUAAUGUAAUGAGUUCCUUAUUCACAAGGAUUACUCCUACACUGAUGAUUACCCAUACAUGUUAAGCGUGUGAUCAUCUAAAUGAUGGAAUUUGAGAUGAAGGAUUUGGGUAAAACAUCGAGCACCUUCACUCAUACAUAAUGGUACACAUGUUGUCUAUAUAUUGAUUAUAUUGGAGAAAUUGAUUGUGGACAAAUCUUAUGCAUCCAUAACUCGCAUGGCUUCAUUCUCUAGACGUAGAGAAAGAUCCAUUAAAACUAUGAGUUGAUGGCAAUGCAAUAUUGGGACAUAGAGUUCCAUAUCCUAGUGCCAUUGGACACACCACACAUAAUUGGUUGGGGCUCAAGAAUAUCUUUCAAUAACUCCAAGGCAUCAAACAUUUUGACCUAAUCUUUCAGUUUCAGAGAAAUCUGGACACCAAUAUCAUUGAAUAGGUCAACCAGAUCCCUACUAUGUCAGAUCGUAGACAAAGUUUUUGUUCCUGCUUGUGAUAGCCUCAUGGCUACAUCCACCAACCAUUAUCUCAAAGAUAAUAUUGCUUGUGUUGCCCAGAUGAAAACAGAUUACAUAAUAAGCAAUAUCGCUAUAUUGCAUAUCUUGCAAGUCAAAUCAUGUGACUGAUUUGUUCACCAAGUCUCUACCAACUUCUACAUGCCAGGGGGGUAUCUUCCUGAAUUGUUCCUGUUCAAAGCAUCAUAUUAUACUUUUUUCUCUUCAUGAGUUUACUUUACAGGUUCUCAUGAAGGUUUUUAAUGAGAGGAUAUCAACAUGAGAUCAUGUGUCAUACUUUCUGUUUUCCCCACCAGGGUUUUUAGGAAAGUAUAUACAACAUGUUUAUUGUGCUCUAAACUCUACGGGGUUUCUCAUAUUAAGUUAAAAGGGACAAUAAGCAUUAUAUGUUGCAUCAUUUUCUCCUUAUUUUUCCACUGGGUUUGCAGGAGUUUUAGCAACAUAUCAAACACAUAUUACCUCGUACUUUUCCCAUAGGGUUUUUGGAGGAGCUUUUCAAGAUGAUGAUACUUACACAAAAAAGCAUGGAUUAGGGGGUUGUUAGGAAUUAAUUAAUUAUUUUAAUCCUUGCUUUGCUUAAUUACCAAGCCGGAUACUAUUUGGCAUGUCAGUUGCUCAGGCCCCUUUGUACAGGAACCCCUUGGAGGCACCCUUUGUAAUCCUAUAUAAGACAUCAUCAUCAAGAAAGACUACAUACAGUUUUCAUUACCAUUCAUUGUCUCUCAUUUUCACUUACUAAUAAUUCUGAUUCACAAAAUUAACGGUAUCUGUCAGACCGCUUCCACAUCAAUUGGCGGCAUAUGGUUCUGAGCUCCUGCACAUUACACUCCUAGGUGGUGACAUCAAUGAAAUCGCUCACCAAUAGACGGGUCAAAAGUAAAGUUAAAAGGUUCCAUAUCUCUAAUCCCCAUUCCUCCUUUGUAUUGUGGCAUGGUCCGUCUCCCAUGAAACCCAUGCCGUCUUCCUCUGACCACCUUUGCUACUGUAAGAAUUCGAGAGAAAACUUGUGUUUAUUGAUUGUGGGCAAAGCCCUAUUUAUACAAGGAUUUGGGGCGCCUCCAGAGAGGCGUCCAUUUACAAUAGGCUCAUGUUGACGCGAGAAGACGCCCCUACGGACGUUCGCGUCUGUAUGGCGCUUUGGACACAUGUGACGAAUCCUAACAACGAUUAGCGCUAAUGACGUCGGUUUAUUCUUAACACUCCACCUUGUACAAAGUUGCUUCUUCUGUGUCUGGCAUCCUUGUAUAACUUUGAGAAUAUUGCUCUUAAUCACAAGCGUAUAUGAUCUUGAAUAACUCCUCCAAAAACCCUGUGGGAAAAAUAUGAGGAGAAUAGAACUUGAUAUGUUGUUAAAACUCCAUUAAAACCCAGUAGGAAAAUAAGGAGAAAAUGAUACAACAUAUGUUAUUGUCUCUUUGAUAACUUAUAUGAGAAAAACCUUGAGUAUAAAACUCAUUGGUAAGUUUAGAGGAUAAUUAAUAUGUCUUGUAUACACCCAUUAAAAAACCCUGUGGGGAAAAGUAGGAUGUAUGACAUAUAUUCUUAUGUUGAUAUUACCUCAUUAAAAACCUUGAUGAGAACCAUGAGAGUAAACUCAUAAAGGGAAAAGGAGUGCAAUAUAAUGUUUGAACAGGUUAUGAUUUAGAGAGACUCUCCCCCUAAUCUUUGCAAAUCUCGAAGUCAUCGCAUACCAAUCCCAUGAACAUAUUUUCCAAAUGUUGAAGCUGGGAGUAUCGCAUGAUUUGACUUGCAAAAUGUUUAUCUUCCCUUUCUUUUGUAACUAAUGGGGGGUAAUUUAGGAGAAAUAUGCUUAGUGAUAUUGCUCUUUAUGUAACCUAUUUGCAUUUGAGCAACACAAGCUGCAUUAUCUUCGUAGAUAAUGGUUGGAGACUCGAUAGAACCUUUACCACAUGAUUUUUGUAUGUGGUUUAUCAUUCUACGAAGCCACACACAUUCAGUGUUGCCUCAUAUAAUGCGAUUAUUUCAGAAUGAUGGUGGAUGUAGCCACAAGAGUCUGCUUGGAAGAUUUCCAUGAUAUGGAUGUCCCACCAUGUAGGAACAAAAAACCAGUUUGUGAUCUGGCAUUGUGGGGGUCAGAUAAGUAGCCAGCAUCAGCAUACCCAAUCAUAUCAAUGUCUGAAUUUCUCUGAAAUUGAAAGAAUAGGCCAAGAUCCUUUGUGCCUUGGAGAUAUCGAAAGAUAUUGUUAACUCCCGUCCAAUGGCGUUUGGUAGGACUUGCGCUAUGUCUAGCUAGUAAAUUCACUACAAAUGCAAUAUCAGGCCUAGUGCAAUUUGCAAGAUACAUUAGCGCUCCAACGGCACUAAGAUAUGGAACUUCAGGUCCUAAUAUCUCUUCUCCAUUAUCCAUUGGUCUAAAUUGAUCUUUCUCUAUGUCUAGAGAUCGAACUACCAUAGGAGAUUUGGAUGGAUAGGAUUUGUCCAUAUUGAAUUUCUUCAAUAUUUUCUGGAUAUAGGCGGUUUGAUGAACCAAAAUACCCAAGGGAAGGUGCUCAAGUUGCAAUCCUAAGGAAAAUUUGGUUUUACCCAAAUACUUCAUCUCAAAUUCCGUCUUUAGGUGAUUGCGUGCUUCAUCAAUAUCUUGUGUGGUUCCAAUGAUGUUUAGAUCAUCAACAUACACAGACAUAAUGCAAAGUCCAAUUGCGGACUUUUUAUGAAAACACAUGGGCAUACAUCAUUAUUGGAGUAUCCUUUUUUUCAAAAAGAACUCACUAAGUCGGUUGUACCACAUGCGACCCGACUGUUUUAAGCUGUAUAAAGACUUAUUUAGUUUUACAUAAUAUGUGUUGCAUUUUGCGUUUGGAUUCAGGAUUGGGACUCCAUCAGGAUCCUUCGUGUAUAUGUCCGAAUCAAGUGAACCAUAAAGGUAAGCGAUCAGUACAUCCAUCAACUAUAUAGAUAGACGAUUUUGAACUACCAUAGAAAUGAGGUAUCGAAAAGUAAUGCCACUCAUUACUGGAGAAUAUGUUUCAUUGAAAUCAAUGUCUGGUCUCUGCAUGAAACCUUGGGCUACAAGCCUUGCUUUAUAUCUCACCACCUCGUUGUUCUUGUUUCUUUUAUGAACAAAAACCCAUUUGAAUCCCACGGGGAAAACUCUGGGAGGUGUAGGUAUUGCUUCAGUGAGAACCUUUCAUUUAUUGAGCGAGGCUAACCCUACUUAGAUUGCAUCCUUCCAUUUAGGCCAGUCGGAGCGUUUCUUGCACUCUGCCAUGGUCUUUGGAUCAUGAUCAUUUAGAAGGUUGUUUGCAACUGUAGUUGAGAAAUAUAUGUCGACAAUUGUAGACUUAGGAUUGUAAGAUUCUCUAGAAUCUAUAUAGUUUGUGGAAAUUUCAUUUACCCUUGUUGACUGGUCGUGAUUUCCCAAUACGAUUGAGUUAGGGUUUUCCGAUGUCCCGGUCAUUGAGUGCACAACUGAGCUGGGUUGUGGAGGUUGUCCUCCCACUAGGUGUAUAUUACCCAUUUGAUGAUUAUCAACACUAGGUUGGUUUACAUUUACUGGUUAAGAGGGUCUCUUUCUCUGUUUCCUUUGUUGCUUUUGAGGAGCUGAAUCCUUUCCCGUGGCCGUACUUCUCCCCCUCUUCCUUUGAACAGGGGGUUGAGUAGUUUUUGUUGGUACCUCCACUCUUUCGAGCACGUUUUUAGCAGGAUUGUAGGAUUUGGUAACACUUUUAUAGUCAGUAAAUGAAUCUGGCAGGUUAUUUGCAAUGUGUUGCAAAUUAAUUAUUUUCCAAACUUGAAGUUCAGUUUCUUGAGUACAUGGAUCAGAGGAGGAAAUGCCUUGGGCAUUCCAAUCGAUUUCCAGGCAUUCUUUUUGGUACUUGAUUUCUCCGCCUAAUGCCGGGAAAUGGUCCUCAUUGAAGAUGCAGUCAGCGUGAUGGGUUGUGAACAGAUCCCCCGUGAGGGGUUCAAGGUACUUGAUUAUCGACGGUGAUUUGUACCCCACAUGGAUCCCCAAUUUUCUGUGUGGUCCCAUGGAUGUACGCUGCGGUGGUGAGAUUGGCAUAUAUGUGGCGCAUCCGAAUUUACGCAGAUGGGAAAUAUUUGGUAGGUUUCCACGUACUAAUUGCAGAGGGGAAGUGUUGUGAUAUGCAGUUGGUCGCAAUUGGAUUAAGUCAGCGGCGUGUAAAACCGCGUGACCCCAACAAGAAGUUGGUAAAUUGCAAUUCAUUAGUAAGGUUCGUGCAAUGAGCUUAAUUCUCUUAAUUAGAGAUUCGGCCAAUCCAUUUUGGGUAUGGACAUAUGGGACUGAGUGCUGAACUUCAAUGCCUAACGCCAUGCAAUAAUCAUUGAAAGCAUGUGAAGAGAAUUCAGCAGCGUUGUCCAUUUGAAUUGAUUUAAUUCGAUUCUCAGGAUAAUGAGCUUGCAAUUUGAUAACUUGUCUCACUAUUUUGGAAAAUGCAUGGUUUCGUGUAGAUGCAUCUAUUAGAACCAUGAAAUACCUAAAAGGUCCAAACAAUGAUUGGAUCAGACCACAAAUAUCGCCUUGAAUUCGUUCAAGGAAUUGUAGUGGUUCUGCUUGAAUUUUAAGAUAUGAGGGUCUUAAAAUUAGUUUCCGGGUAGCGCAUGCAGUGCACAUAAAAUCCGAAGAUUGUGGAAAUUUAGAUUCAUUUAAGUCAUGACCAUUGGAAUUGCAGAUAAUUUUCCUCAUCAUCCCACCGAGAUGACCAAGGCGAUCAUGCCAAGUUUGGAAUGCAUUUACAUUCUGAAAAAUUACCUUAAAUGCAACGUGUUCUACAGGUUUUAUGUAUGUGUAGUACAAUCCUGAUGAUAAAGAGAGAAUUUUCUCAAAUAUUUGUUUGCCAUAUCCUUUGUCUUUGGUAAAGAGGAGAUAUUGCUCUUUGUUAUCUUCAUAAGUUUCAAUGUGGAAACCGUUUUUGCGGAUAUCUUUAUAACCUAUGAGGGUACGAGUUGAAUCGGGAUAUAAUAAAGCAUCCUCAAUUACAAUUUGUGUACCAACAGGGAGGGUAAAUAUGGCACAUCCUAUGCCAGCGAUUACCGCAUCGCGUCCAUCGAUUGUUAAAAUAUCUCCAUUCAAUUUUGUAAGAGUUUGGAAAUACUUUAUUUCCCUAAGUAUACAGUUUGUGGUGCCACUGUCCACAAGGCACAUUUCCUCCACCAUUGGAUUGACUCCCGUAAAAAUCUAUAUAUUAAAAUGUGGAAUUUUCAGUUUAACGAAAAACACUUUAUUACAACAAUCUGAUGGAUGUAAACCAAUGCAAUAUCUAAAUGGAGUCAAUUGACUAGUCAAAGUCCUCGAACAUGUCGGCGGCGUAUUCGGUCAUCAUAUUCUCUGUGUCUAUGGAGUCCUGCGAUAGAUGGAAUUCCUUGUUGUUACUUGGUGCUCCUUGAACAUCUUGAGAACAACCAGCUUCCUUGUUGUUAUCAGGUUGAAGAUUGAAGUGAGCUUCAUAUCUUGCUCCUUGGGCAGAUCUGUUACGUUCCAUGGAUUGCAGGUAGAGGUUUACCAGAUGUCUUGGGGUGCGGCAUUUCUUGGUGACAUGCUUGUAGCAUCCACAUUUCUGGCAAAGUUUAGUUUUAUCAAACUUAUUCUUUGUUAUGCCCUUCCCCUUGUCUGAAUUUUGUGGCUUGUUCUUCUUGUUGUGGUUGCUCUUACCCUUAACGUUCUUGUUUUGGCCUUUGAAAGAACCAUUGAACUUGGUGUUUUUCUAAAAAUUUGCAUGUACUUCAGGCAGAGGAGCGGCCCCAACUGGGCGUGGUUGCUGCCUCGACGGGAGCCCAGUCCAUUGGCGAAGCGACGAAGGCCGGCAUCGGAGGUGCCUGGUAGGCUUGGUGGACGGCCGCGGGCGGGUUGCUUGGUCCUGCUUGAUCUGCUGCGGCAAGGCCAAGGUAAUCCUGAUCACCACGACGACCACGGCGGCCGUUGCCUGGGCCCCAAGGGUGAUAAAUUCUAGCCCUGUGUCAUCUGGCAAAUCGACGGAUUUCCCGUCACUUCUCUCUCGUCCUGUUCGUGCUCUGUUGGUAGAGGCAUGGCUGAUAAUGUGUAAGAAUUCAAGAGAAAAUUUGUAUUUAUUAAUUGUGGGCAACGCCCUAUUUAUACAAGGAUUUGGGGCGCCUCCGGAGAAGCAUCCGUUUACAAUAGCCCCUGUUGGCGUGAAAAAACGCCCGUACGGACAUGACAGAAUCCUAACAACAAUUAGCGCUAAUGACACCGGUUUAUUCUUAACAGCUACCGCACCAAAAUUUGCGAAUCAGUGAUGCUACUUGGACAAAUAGGAACUCCUAUUGUGUCACUAGUUUUUUGUGUGAAGGGACUGUUCGCUCAGCAUCCCAUUUGUGUUUUAGCCUGUCACCAUGAUAUAAGUUGGAACUAACAACUGCCCCGCUCAGCGUCCCCUUUGUGUUUUAGCCAUGAUUAACAAGUCACGAGUCGUAUCCUCUUUUACUGCUGUAAUUCAGGGCACUGUAGACAUGAAAGCGACUAGGAUACUCUUUGCUGUGACCGUCAGACCAUACGGUUUUGCUUAUGUGGUUUGACCUUUGGCAGGUAUUGAAUGAUUAACAGAUGCAACCACAAGAAGAGGCAUAAGAGACGAGAUGAGUAACAGAUUAUGAGAAAAUUGCACUCGUCUUAUUGCUGCAUUCUACCAGUCUAUUCCGCACAUCUAUAAAAGACUUCAAAAGAUCUUCCAGCUAAAUACAAUGUAAACAAGAUGACAUUUUAACAGGGCAACGGUCAAAGCUGACCAUAAAGAAAAACAAUAUUAUGAACAUCAAAUAGUUGGUGUCUGUUUAAACUCCCACUCACUGCACAUUCUUUGCAGUAACUUGUUUGCAAUGCAAUGAUUCUGGUAGAUCUCGGCCAUUUCCCAACAAAUAUCGAGAACCUCCUGGUAGUGCCUAAGGCUGAUGCUUCAUGUUGCCAACUAGUGGGAUCUAGCAGACUGUGGAACAAGCACGCACACAUUCCCACUUGCCUAUUGCAACUCCCGUACUAUCUGUACAAAUACCCAGCAGCGAAUGCACAAGUGCGGGAAUGACUGAUUAACCAAAUCCAAACCCUUCAUUUGCCUCAUGAAUAGCCAAUAGCAACCUCUCCUGCAGCUGGUCUUUGGAUGUGUAUUCAG
rnacentral:lncRNA from 1 species